rnacentral:lncRNA from 1 species
GAGAUGAUGCCAUGGCAGCUAUAAAUAGGCCUGUAGCAUGAUGAUCAUCCUUCCUCAUCCAUCAUUCUCAUAAGUAGAGUGCAUCAUUCAAGCCAAGCAAGCAGUGGUCAAUACAAAUCCACCAUGAAGACCUUUCUCAUCCUUGCCCUCCUUGCUAUCGUGGCGACCACCACCACAACUGCAGUUAGAGUUCCAGUGCCACAAUUGCAGCCACAAAAUCCAUCUCAGCAACAACCACAAGAGCAAGUUCCAUUGGUGCAACAACAACAAUUUCUAGGGCAGCAACAACAACAAUUUCCAGGGCAACAACAACCAUUUCCACCACAAUAGCCAUAUCCGCAGCCGCAACCAUUUCUGCCACAACUACCAUAUCCGCAGCCGCAACCAUUUCCACCACAACAAUCAUAUCCACAACCACAACCACAAUAUCCGCAACCACAACAACCAAUUUCGCAGCAACAAGCACUACAACAACAACAACAACAACAACAACAACAACAAAAACAAAUCCUUCAACAAAUUCUGCAACAACAACUGAUUCCAUGCAGGGAUGUCGUCUUGCAACAACCCAAUAUAGCACAUGCAAGCUCACAAGUAUCGCAACAAAGUUACCAACUGUUGCAACAAUUAUGUUGUCAGCAACUGUGGCAGACCCCCGAGCAGUCACGGUGCCAAGCCAUCCACAAUGUCAUUCAUGCUAUUAUUUUGCAUCANNNNNNNNNNNNNNNNNNNNNNNNNNNNNNNNNNNNNNNNNNNNNNNNNNNNNNNNNNNNNNNNNNNNNNNNNNNNNNNNNNNNNNNNNNNNNNNNNNNNNNNNNNNNNNNNNNNNNNNNNNNNNNNNNNNNNNNNNNNNNNNNNNNNNNNNNNNNNNNNNNNNNNNNNNNNNNNNNNNNNNNNNNNNNNNNNNNNNNNNNNNNNNNNNNNNNNNNNNNNNNNNNNNNNNNNNNNNNNNNNNNNNNNNNNNNNNNNNNNNNNNNNNNNNNNNNNNNNNNNNNNNNNNNNNNNNNNNNNNNNNNNNNNNNNNNNNNNNNNNNNNNNNNNNNNNNNNNNNNNNNNNNNNNNNNNNNNNNNNNNNNNNNNNNNNNNNNNNNNNNNNNNNNNNNNNNNNNNNNNNNNNNNNNNNNNNNNNNNNNNNNNNNNNNNNNNNNNNNNNNNNNNNNNNNNNNNNNNNNNNNNNNNNNNNNNNNNNNNNNNNNNNNNNNNNNNNNNNNNNNNNNNNNNNNNNNNNNNNNNNNNNNNNNNNNNNNNNNNNNNNNNNNNNNNNNNNNNNNNNNNNNNNNNNNNNNNNNNNNNNNNNNNNNNNNNNNNNNNNNNNNNNNNNNNNNNNNNNNNNNNNNNNNNNNNNNNNNNNNNNNNNNNNNNNNNNNNNNNNNNNNNNNNNNNNNNNNNNNNNNNNNNNNNNNNNNNNNNNNNNNNNNNNNNNNNNNNNNNNNNNNNNNNNNNNNNNNNNNNNNNNNNNNNNNNNNNNNNNNNNNNNNNNNNNNNNNNNNNNNNNNNNNNNNNNNNNNNNNNNNNNNNNNNNNNNNNNNNNNNNNNNNNNNNNNNNNNNNNNNNNNNNNNNNNNNNNNNNNNNNNNNNNNNNNNNNNNCAUAUGAAGUAACAUUUCCUCACCAAGGCCACACAUAGGGCACACACAUAACCCCAUCACAUGCCUUUUUAGUUAUGCAUAUGAAGGUAGGAUGUUUUUAAUUACUCUGCACCAAAAUACUCUUAACUUGGAUUGUACCCUAAGCUUUCGUUGCCUUUUACAUUUUUCUUCCCCAUUAGAUGAACUAGAUAGUCCAGCUACCACACAAUACCUUGUGUUCAUCUCGGCUCUGUACAACAAUUGAACAGAAGAAAUGUCAUUUCUUUACCAUAUCCAUGACCAAAUGUUCUCUGCUACUCCCUCCGUCCCAAAAUACUGCCAUCCAUGUCGACAACAAUGAGUCAUAUAGGACCGCUAUGCCUCUGUUGAAGGAGGUGGUGGAGCGAUCCGGAGAUUAUUCUGCCAUCCAUGUUGAGUAAAACCUCACUGGCCACUUGCUCCAACCGCAUACACACCGCCAUAAACAACGGUUGGUACUCAGUUCGGUGUAGCAUACACCAUGUAGGAAGCGAGUGCUUACUCCUAGUUACUGAAUUAUGUACACCAAAUAAACCCAUUUACACGAAGUUAAUGACAAAAAAGUUGAUGCUUGCUACGCAGAUGUGUAGUACAAAUUAAGAAGUGCAAGAUAAAAAGAUGCUGGUCCUUGAUUCGUUGUUGAUCCUGAGCAUGCCAUCAUCAACUUGUAGUUAAUUAUCAUACAAAUUGGCUCUUUCAUAGAGUUGGAGGCUAGCUCCUUGGAUCAGCACGCGCUUAAACACAAAGAACACGUAUAUGUAUUCUCUCCGAAGUUCAACUCUUGAUUGGCCAGCAAAAAUGGUCCGACCGGGUAGAGGAAAGGCAUGUUUGCUAGUACGCCUGGAGGAAAUGCCUUUGAUUAGGGCAUCUCCAACGGCGACCAGUAAAUUUUCUCCCAUAUUCGUCCACGGACAAGGGAUCAGUCCGUGGAUAUGGAUAUAGGAAUCGGCCAUCCAACGUUGUCCGCAUAUAUUUCGAACACUUCUUUUAAAAAAUCGAAUGAAAUUCAUGCAAACACAGUGGAUUCCAUACAAACCGGACAAAAAUGUUUACAUUUUGGACAUAUUUUUAACUAAAAACUGUACAGCCGGCGCCGGCGACGACGAAUAUCCUCCGGCGACAUGGAUACCCUUGACUAGUCUACUGCCGGCUGCAGCGGAUCUCCAAUGUCAUCCCCAUGUCCGGCAGCUGUGAGCCCUAGGUAUAUGCUUCAACGCAAAGAGCAGCUCGCCUCCCUACCACUCAUCGGAGUGGAACAACCAACUGAUGCUUCUGCCAAUGGGAAAGGGUUCCUACGCUACAUAGGUCAGAGUUGGUUUUGGGUUGGGAACGGUGGUGGCCUGCCAGAGGGCAAGACACCGGCUGUGUAUGCUGGUGUCACCUCAAUAUGGCAUUCAUGGGACCCAAGCGACAGCUUCUCCUCGACUAUUGUGGCGAGCGCAGACGUGUUGGACACCACCUCGUCGAUGUCCAUGCAGCCCGCUUCUUUCUCUGUAGUCAGGACGCGGUGACACGCGCUUUGACAUCGGAUGACGCGCUCACAGGCACGGGAGGGGCGGUACAACAUGGCACCAUCAAUAGCAGCAAUGAUGCCCGUGCCACUGUGGUCCCUAUCAGUGUCGACCUGGAGCAACUCGCCACUCCUCGGCUCGUGACCGGCGGGGUUGACGGGCUACCAAGCCAUUGUUUAUGCGAGACAACUCUUUUUCCUGCUCAUCAGAUGCCAUGGAGAAAACUGAUCAAGGAGAAAAAUGGUGAGUGGAGGUGUGAUGCAGUUCUUGCUCGACAUCAGACAUCUAUCUAUUAUAUAAUUAAAACGAUAGAAAACGAACGGUUAAGAUUAAUCGUUCUAAAGUUAAGAAAAAACAACGGUGGAGAUUUACAGCAUAUAUGUUUUUUUUUGAAAAUUAAAGCAUAGAUGUUUGAACCACGCGCAUUACACGUACAUGUACAAGACCAAAACAGACGUACAUGUACCAGACCAAAACAGACGACCCGUCAAACAUAGUACGAUUGACUGAUCUCCGUAAAGAAUACGUCCAAUAAGGAAGGAGGCCUGAUUGAUUUCUAACUGGAACACGCACAACUAACCUGAUGUAUUUCUUAUUAAAACACACAAACAACUUGAUUUCCAGCAAGAAUACAAACGUGUAAGCUGAGAACUGCACACCUCAGCCCGGCGAACACUCCAGGCCGCCGUGGCACGUCCCGGAGAAGAUUGAACGCAUAUAACAACAACAUAUCUGUACACGGCAAUAUCGGAAGCACAUCGGCGAACACUUGAGGCCGCCGCCACACGUCGAUUGCAGGCAUAACAACAACAAAUCUAGACGCGGCAAUGUCGGAUGCACAUUGGCGAAAAGUCGAACACUCAACGCCACCAGCGCACAUCCCGGAGAUCAAAGGCGCAACAGCAACACAUCUAUACGCGGCAAUGUCGGAGGUACAUCAGUGAAUACUGCAUCGCCACACGUCCUCGAGAUCUUACGCAUGGCAACAACUAAUCUAUACGUGGCAACGUUGGAGGCACGUGGGCCGGUGAAUCGAAGGCGGGAUAGCAACACAUCCAAUGCAAAGCUCAAGAUGCCGGGACUCCCAACAGAUCAAAGUCAUGACAGCGUUAUCAUCAACUUUGUACAAUAUGUCUCCACGUACUACCUACAUAUAUGUUAUGAAUAAAAAAAUAAUUUCAAAUUUCGUUUGAAGGUAACAACGAUACGAUGUACAGAGCCAAAAGGAGAGAGUAGAGCAAUACGUGCAUCUUUUUUUUUUGUUGAGAGAAGAAUAAACUCACGUGCAUCUAAGCUACCGAUGUCUCAACCCUAGCCUAAAAAAAGUUGCCGAGUGUCUGCAUCUACGGAUUGGACGCUAGACUUUGUAUUAUUCUUUUAUGUUAGCAUACGUUGAUAGAUUGGUGCAAAUAAGUUUGAUGUCAAAAAACUAUAGCAAGCACAUAGCUCAAAACUAAAUGAUUGACCCAACAAAACAAAAUAUUACAUAAAUGUUACUGUCGCUUUAAGCUAGAGAAUCUGCACAUUUGAUCAGGGGUCAAUCGAAGGACAAACGUUAUUAGUCAGGUUGCUCACAAAAAUAAAAACAUAUUUUUCAUUAUGUGAAUAAAGAAUAAAACUAAAUUUAUAUCUGCAGUUCAAAAAUAUGAGUAAAAAUAAAUAGAAAAUUAUUUUUAUCAUAUUAGAUUCAGAAAUGGGAUUUACAUAUAAAUUAUACUGAACAUGAAAUACAAUAAAAAAAUUUAAAAAAUCAAAUUACCGUCAGAUUAAAAUGAAACUUGAUGCAAAUGAAUGGACAAAAAAAGUCACUCUUGGGUCAAUUUUCACAGCUAUUUUAUGAGUAUCUUUGCUUACAUGAAUCUCGAUGAGAGAAUCAGAUAGUUCUGAUCGGUCGUUGAAUGCUAAUUUCACAGUUGUCCGAGAAAUAGCAAUACCAAAAUGUUUAUUACUAACUAUAUAUAAAUAACAUUUUGUCAAAGACGAACGUACCAAUCAUAUUACCCACAUACGAGUAGGAAAUUCCCACCAAAGUUUGAUCAUGUUUCCUCGAGAUGCAUACGUUACCUAUAAUAUUUUUUGUAAAUUAAACUAUAUAUCAACGACAAUGUCAGAAAAAUAAACUAAGUAAUAUCUGUUUCCCUACAUUGGAAAAUAUUGGUAUAGAAUAUAAUAAUAUAUAUAAUUGAACAUGUGGGUGAAGGAAAGAAAAAAGGUUAAGCAAGAAGGUUAGGAGCAAAUUUAUUGCAAGUGCGCGAAUAACCAUUUUAGCUAUUCUAAAAAUCACAUUUCAAUUCAAAAGAACAUAUUCAUCAUCAGAAAAAAAGCUACUCUGUGCUCGAGUGAGAGAAAAUCUAGCAAUUUCCACACCAUUAAAAAAUAGGUUGUCUUAGACUGGACAGCAGCGAAAUAGUAAGGAACAUAGUUUCAUUUUGUUGGCAAUGACUUCUAGAGUAAUAUGAGUGGAAGGACAAAUGCAUAGGGAUGAGAUGGAAAGGGAUUGGGAAAGCUGGCAACCAACAGCUACAAAUCGUGAGACUCCUAGAAAAUUUCAAUGGGACACCAAGUUUAAUAAUUUUUUCUAAAUAUAACUUCUCUAUGUAAAUACUCAUGUAGCAGCUAACCAAAAUCAUCAUGAGAAAAAAACUACACUUUGCUCGAGGGAGAGAAAAUCUAGCAAUUUCCACGCCAUUAAAAAAUUAGGUUGUUUCAGACUGGACAGCAGCGAAAUAGUAAAUAACAUUGUUUCAUUUUCCUGGGAAUGACUUCUAAAGUAAUAUCACGGCAAGGAUGAAUGCAUAGGGAUGAGAAGGAAAGGAAUUGGGAAAAAGCUGGCAACCAACAACUACUAAUUGUGAGACUUUUAGAAAAUUUAAAUGGAACCCCAAGUUUAAUAAUGUUUUCUAAAUAUAACUUCUCUAUAUAAAUAAUCAUGUAGCAGCUAACCAAAAAAAGACAUUAAUUUUUUAGCAAGUCUAGCCGCGCAAAUGCGCGGGUUAUAUUGCUAGUUGUUUAAAUAGCGAUGGGACACGAGGAGCCAACCGGCGUUCUGUUUAAUGCCAGCCGGCUGACGAACGAACAUGUGGCUGCAGUAAUUAUCCUGGCACACGCGCGGGUUUAAUGGUGGAAGGCGGGCAGUCUGGAGGAAUGAGGCAGGAUGUGUGUUUAGCCGGCGUGCAGCGGGGCGGUACCCUUGGCGUGCGUGGGGCGGUACUGGAGGCAUGAAUGUGGGCAGCCGGCGCAGAGCGGGAACACGUGUGUGCGAGAGAGGAGGGGGUUUGGGUGGGCACGAGUGGUCGGAAGCAGUCGUGGGUGUUGUCCGGACGCGUGCAAAGCCCCCCUCCCCCAUGUGUUGUCUCCGGUUUGCGGGAGAAAGUACGUCUGGACUGCCCUGUGGACCGAUACAAGCCCGCAUUAGAUGGCACAACAUGUCCGGACCAUGUGGUCCGGAUGGUUGUGGACGGUUUAAUUGAGGGUCGGCGUUGGAGAUGCCUUAGAGUUUAUGAAUCCAUUGUGUUUUCCUAAUCAUAAAAAAUCACUUAUAAUAAGUUAUAUGGAAAGACACGUAUAUAAGUUAGGUUCAGACUCCAGCUUUCCUCUUAUAUAUGUUUUCUUUUCUGAUCCGACUGAUUCCAAUAGAGUGAGCCUAGCGUUGUUUUUCUGGAAACUCGAUACACGUUCUUUCAAGCAAAUCACAUCCAUUCUUUUUAACUAAUUUUUUUCUUGUUUUAAUAAUAUAAUAAAUCAUUUGUAUUUCUUAUCUCGAACAGUUGACCUGUAAUUCCUAUUGUAAUCUAAGGAUAAUGUUUGGAUUUUACUUUCAAAUAUUUGAAAUGGCCAUGAUGGAAUCACAUCCAUUUAUUUUAUUAUUAUUUGAAUUUGAUCCAAAAGAUAAAUAAUGAGUAGACGUCCUGAAAACUUUUCUGAGAACUUUGGUAAUCAAAAGACAAAAAAGGUUUUAAGAACUGAAGCAAACCACGAAUUUUACUCUCUAUUUUACUAAAGCAAGUGGCUGCUAUUUAGGUCUAGUGAAUACCAAAUUGACCAACAACCUUUUUUCCAAAUUGGAAGGAAUGCAGUUCUCAGCUCUCACCGUGGUGAUUAUACAAUCUGGAUUUUCGAGCUGUAGCUAGUCAACUUAUGUUAGUGGCAUAUGUAACAUAGUGUUGGUCACUGGGAAUGGAUGAAGCCAUGAGUGAAGGAACAGGAAAUGACAGAAGUAUGAUUUGUAGAAUUUCAAAACUCAAAAUAUCUAGUUUUAUGGAGUGAUAUGAAAUAAGCAAACCAACUGCUUAUAAAAAUGUAAAAUUAAACGACAUAUUUAGAAAUGUGAUUGUGAAGUCAUUGUCACAAAAUAUGACCCCACUAAAAAUGAACAUUCAACCUUAUUUUCAGAAGUUUGCAUACAAAUCCCAUGUAAAUUAUGGUAGUGCUCACAAACAAAUAAACUAAAAUCGUGCUUGAUCCACCAUGAAACUUACUACCUUGUCUAUAUUCUUGAAGAGCUCAAAAAAUGCUGAAGCAAUGCCACCUAGCUAGAUAUAUACUUUUGUCAUGUCCAGAGAUUUCCUGCACCAUGAACAAGAAUGCCACCGCAAUAAUAGUCGCUCUUUUGCGACAAAAAAAAUACUGACUUUGGACAGCAAUGCCUGCACAACUACUAUCUGUACGCCAUGCAUGCACCCAUGUAUGUCAGUAAUACAUAUUAUAAGCUUGUGAACAUUGGUUUCAAAGUAGUGAUACCAACAAUACAUCAUCCAGUGAUGGCCAGUCGCAGUACCUAGAUGCCACUUCGGUGCCUGGUUUCAAAGUCGCAAGUUCAUGGCAGGGAAAGCAAUCAUGUGUCUAGAGUAGAGACUUAAAUAAAGACCCAUGCCAUGUAGAUGGAUCAGAUAAUUAUGCCAAUCCUGAUUUUUCAGUGCAAAUCCAGUUCUAAAAUUUCCACUUGUUUAGUUGCUCCCAAAAAGGGCUAUACAGUUAACCAAAAUGAAUUUUGCUCCUAACACCACAGUUUGUUUCCAACGAUCAAGAGAGCGAGCUUCACCAUAGUGAAGUGUGUUUGAUUAAGUACCUGAGCCGGUGUUGUACAUGCAUAUAUGAUAUGUUCACCGCUCCUACCGGAUGCCCGCCGCCGAACUCACCAUCCGUUCUACACAAGCAGCAAAACCGAUCAGAUAAGCUAUUUCGGUUGUUACUUGUAUAGUCUGAUGGAACGAUCAGUUCCAGAAUUACGCCAUGGCGCCAUCUUUUAUAUGCAAUAUACUGUGAACUGAAUUUUCUGUCAGUGAAGUUGACAGAACAGAGUACUACAGGGUAGAGGGGUAGAGCAUGCAAGUGGUGAUUGUUGUGUGGUUUUUACGUUAGUUAUUUGUGCACCGGGCGUCUAGGUAGCGUUGGCUGGCCAUCUGCAGCUCAUAGGCGCACGAGCACAGCGGUGGCACGCCCAGCACCGCCUCCACUGCCCGCAAGGACGCCACCUAGCCGCCGCCGUAUCUGGAGAAGAAGCAACAAGCAUGUAAGAGUUUGUCCGUGGACGCUCUAUGGAUCGACCUGAUCGAUCACUCGUUUUGUGCAUGCACCACCACACAUGGCUGAACCGAGCAUCCUCCUGGCGGCGCCCAGUGAGACCGUCCUCGCAGCGGCCACGGCUCGAUGGUUCGCCCCCGUGUGCACGGUACGUGCCGCAGCCUGCAGUCAAAACAGAGCGCGUAGAAGGUGAAGGCAAGGGGAGCUGGUGUGCUGGGAGGGAGACUCCUGGAGCUAGGGAGCACGCCGACGCCAUUGCUCAAGGUGCAAGUUUGUUUCAAUCUUCAAUCCUGCUCGCUGUUGAUUCUGGUUACAGUAAAUUUUAGCUAGAUAUGGUGUAACCUAAGUGUUAUGCCUAGUCUUAAUCUAUCUAUCUAUCCAAUCUUCUAUUCGGCGAGGUGGCUGCGCCUGUGGCAGAUGUGGCCGCUGCCAUGGCCGGCGCCAGACCUGGUCGAUCUCCCUCUUCUGUAUUUGAGAAAAAAAAUCUCCCUCUUCUCUUCUGAUGAGAAGGGGAAGAGGUGGUGAGAGAUGAAGUCGACGGCUUUGGGGAGAGGAUACGGGAGGACGCCGGUAGUGAGGCGGCAUGAGGAAGACAAGGUGGUUGGCAGCGGCGACGCGUGAGGGGAGGGCAAGGGAGGUGUAGUGGUGCAUGUUGAGGAGUGGGUGUGCAGCGUGCCCAGUUCUCGAGGGAGGAAGGAGGUCGUCAAGGGAGUGAUCCAUGGGAGUUUCUUUUCCUUCUGAGCGAGCCUAGUUGGGCUCUCUGCAGCGUCUAGGCCCAAUGCACCACAUGUCUUCAAAUUGGCCACCAGUAGCAGCCCAUAGAACAGACAGGGCCAGUUUACAAAUUUUAAAACAUAAGUUUUUUAGCGCCCAUGAAAAACAGAACACAUAUCUUUCCAAACAUAAUGAACUGUAGGUACCACCAAAAAAACCAUAAUGAACUAUAGGUUGUUACAAGAACUCAUGCCAUCCCACAGCCGCCCUCCCACCCUGCCAACAUUGUUGCAACUGCACUCGCAAGCGUUACCAUAGAUGAUCAUUUGCAUGAUUUCGCGUAAAACAAAAUAAGAUCUACAAACGAAUAGAAGCUACACAUACCUUGGCAUGCACACACAUUGGAAGCCAUACCAAGGUGAUAAGUGUUAAUAACUUGUACGACAUAUACAACAGUUAAGAUAAGUGAAAGCAAUUUGAUGAGUCAUGGUCUAUCAAAGCAAGCUUUAUUACUACUCUAAUCUAUCUUAACAGGUCACACAUGAUUACAAUCCUUUUUGUGUGCAAGUCAAGCUUAUCUAGUUUACACGUAACAACUUGUAGAACAUUACACAAUUGAUGUUUGCUAAUAACUUCUAGAAAGCUAAAACACUUGACAUGUAAAAAGAAUUUGAUGAGUCAUGACCUAGUAAAUCAAGUUACAUUACUAGUCUCAUCUAUCUUAACAGGUCACACAAGAUUACAAACUAAGUUCUGCGCAAGCAAUGCUUAUCUAGUUUACACAUAACAACUUGCAAAACAUUACAAAUUUAGUUUCAAAAAAUUAGGCAAUCUAGAUUAGUGUUUGAGUUGUAAAUUGAAUAAGAUGAGUCAUGUGUGUUAUCACAACUUUUUGGUGGUGGAAUGAUAGUGCCACCAAACGCAACAUACCAAAUUAUGAUUUUAGGAAGCAUCCAAGCACUUUCCAGACAAGCAAAUGCCAAUUGUGAAGGAGAUGAUGCCAUGGCAGCUAUAAAUAGGCCUGUAGCAUGAUGAUCAUCCUUCCUCAUCCAUCAUUCUCAUAAGUAGAGUGCAUCAUUCAAGCCAAGCAAGGAGUGGUCAAUACAAAUCCACCAUGAAGACCUUUCUCAUCCUUGCCCUCCUUGCUAUCGUGGCGACCACCACCACAACUGCAGUUAGAGUUCCAGUGCCACAAUUGCAGCCACAAAAUCCAUCUCAGCAACAACCACAAGAGCAAGUUCCAUUGGUGCAACAACAACAAUUUCUAGGGCAGCAACAACAACAAUUUCCAGGGCAACAACAACCAUUUCCACCACAACAGCCAUAUCCGCAGCCGCAACCAUUUCUGCCACAACUACCAUAUCCGCAGCCGCAACCAUUUCCACCACAACAAUCAUAUCCACAACCACAACCACAAUAUCCGCAACCACAACAACCAAUUUCGCAGCAACAAGCACAACUACUACAACAACAACAACAACAACAACAACAACAACAACAACAACAACAAAUCCUUCAACAAAUUCUGCAACAACAACUGAUUCCAUGCAGGGAUGUCGUCUUGCAACAACCCAAUAUAGCACAUGCAAGCUCACAAGUAUCGCAACAAAGUUACCAACUGUUGCAACAAUUAUGUUGUCAGCAACUGUGGCAGACCCCCGAGCAGUCACGGUGCCAAGCCAUCCACAAUGUCAUUCAUGCUAUUAUUUUGCAUCAUCGUCAUCAACAACAACAACAACAACAACAACAACAACAACAACAACCGUCGAGCCAGGUCUCCUACCAGCAGCCUCAGCAACAAUAUCCAUCAGGCCAGGGCUUCUUCCAGCCAUCUCAGCAAAACCCACAGGCCCAGGGCUUUGUCCAACCUCAGCAACUGCCGCAGUUCGAGGAAAUAAGGAACCUAGCGCUGCAGACGCUACCAGCAAUGUGCAAUGUCUACAUCCCUCCAUAUUGCUCGACCACCAUUGCGCCAUUUGGCAUCAUGAGUACUAACUGAGAAGAGAAGAACUCUAUUACUAGAUAUAUGAAACACCGUUUUCUUAAAACAUGGUUUGGUCGUUGUAGCGGUGAAAAAUAAAGUGACAUGCACUAUCAUGUAAGAACCCGAACUAGACUAUUUCAAACUUGGAAAUAAAAGACAAACACAGGUCUUGUCUGCAUAUGAUUGUUUGUUUGAGUUCCAUUCAUGUGCCCGUUCACAAGUUCACCCCUAAUUAUAUAUAUUAAGCAUUAGUUAGAUGUUUAUGUGCAUUAAUCUAAAGAUAACAAAAUGAAUCUGAAACUUGAAUUUAAUUAAAGUAUUUUCUUGGACUUUCAAAUUGAGCAUUGAUAGUGAGGACUAUCCACAUCCUUGGCUUGCCCUUGAUCAAUUAUUUCCAAAGAAGCAUUCAAUUCAUCAGUCACUUACAUUGAUUUUUGUGGCUUGUACUUCUCCUCAACAUGAGUAUCUUCAUUGCAGCUACUCCAAAUCUGCCACAUAACUGAAGCAUUAAUAGUGCUCUUCCUUGCAUCAAGGAAAUAUGGAUCGAAGAUAUCUCUUGACCAUGUUUUCGGGUGCAACCUUGGGAGUUUUAUGUCAAAAUAUUCUCAAGAAGAAUCCAAGAAUAAACUUGCAUGCUCACGUGUGAAAAGGGCAUAUGAAGUAACAUUUCCUCACCAAGGCCACACAUAGGGCACACACAUAACCCCAUCACAUGCCUUUUUAGUUAUGCAUAUGAAGGUAGGAUGUUUUUAAUUACUCUGCACCAAAAUACUCUUAACUUGGAUUGUACCCUAAGCUUUCGUUGCCUUUUACAUUUUUCUUCCCCAUUAGAUGAACUAGAUAGUCCAGCUACCACACGAUACCUUGUGUUCAUCUCGGCUCUGUACAACAAUUGAACAGAAGAAAUGUCAUUUCUUUACCAUACCCAUGACCAAAUGUUCUCUGCUACUCCCUCCGUCCCAAAAUACUGCCAUCCAUGUCGACAACAAUGAGUCAUAUAGGACCGCUAUGCCUCUGUUGAAGGAGGUGGUGGAGCGAUCCGGAGAUUAUUCUGCCAUCCAUGUUGAGUAAAACCUCACUGGCCACUUGCUCCAACCGCAUACACACCGCCAUAAACAACGGUUGGUACUCAGUUCGGUGUAGCAUACACCAUGUAGGAAGCGAGUGCUUACUCCUAGCUACUGAAUUAUGUACACCAAAUAAACCCAUUUACACGAAGUUAAUGACAAAAAAGUUGAUGCUUGCUACGCAGAUGUGUAGUACAAAUUAAGAAGUGCAAGAUAAAAAGAUGCUGGUCCUUGAUUCGUUGUUGAUCCUGAGCAUGCCAUCAUCAACUUGUAGUUAAUUAUCAUACAAAUUGGCUCUUUCAUAGAGUUGGAGGCUAGCUCCUUGGAUCAGCACGCGCUUAAACACAAAGAACACGUAUAUGUAUUCUCUCCGAAGUUCAACUCUUGAUUGGCCAGCAAAAAUGGUCCGACCGGGUAGAGGAAAGGCAUGUUUGCUAGUACGCCUGGAGGAAAUGCCUUUGAUUAGGGCAUCUCCAACGGCGACCAGUAAAUUUUCUCCCAUAUUUGUCCACGGACAAGGGAUCAGUCCGUGGAUAUGGAUAUAGAAAUCGGCCAUCCAACGUUGUCCGCAUAUAUUUCGAACACUUCUUUUAAAAAAUCGAAUGAAAUUCAUGCAAACACAGUGGAUUCCAUACAAACCGGACAAAAACGUUUACAUUUUGGACAUAUUUUUAACUAAAAACUCUACAGCCGGCACCGGCGACGACGAAUAUCCUCCGGCGACAUGGAUACCCUUGACUAGUCUACUGCCGGCUGCAGCGGAUCUCCAAUGUCAUCCCCAUGUCCGGCAGCUGUGAGCCCUAGGUAUAUGCUUCAACGCAAAGAGCAGCUCGCCUCCCUACCACUCAUCGGAGUGGAACAACCAACUGAUGCUUCUGCCAAUGGGAAAGGGUUCCUACGCUACAUAGGUCAGAGUUGGUUUUGGGUUGGGAACGGUGGUGGCCUGCCAGAGGGCAAGACACCGGCUGUGUACGCUGGUGUCACCUCAAUAUGGCAUUCAUGGGACCCAAGCGACAGCUUCUCCUCGACUAUUGUGGCGAGCACAGACGUGUUGGACACCACCUCGUCGAUGUCCAUGCAGCCCGCUUCUUUCUCUGUAGUCAGGACGCGGUGACACGCGCUUUGACAUAGGAUGACGCGCUCACAGGCACGGGAGGGGCGGUACAACAUGGCACCAUCAAUGGCAGCCAUGAUGCCCGUGCCACUGUGGUCCCUCUCAGUGUCGACCUGGAGCAACUCGCCACUCCUCGGCUCGUGACCGGCGGGGUUGACGGGCCACCUAGCUAUUGUUUAUGCGAGACAACUCUUUUUCCUGCUCAUCAGAUGCCAAUAAGGAAGGAGGCCUGAUUGAUUUCUAACUGGAACACGCACAACUAACCUGAUGCCAACUAAUCAGAUGCCAAUAAGGAAGGAGGCCUCAACUUAGCUAUAGGAGGUGAAGGCAAGGGGAGCUGGUGUGCUGGGAGGGAGACUCCUGGAGCUAGGGAGCACGCCGACGCCAUUGCUCAAGGUGCAAGUUUGUUUCAAUCUUCAAUCCUGCUCGCUGUUGAUUCUGGUUACAGUAAAUUUUAGCUAGAUAUGGUGUAACCUAAGUGUUAUGCCUAGUCUUAAUCUAUCUAUCUAUCCAAUCUUCUAUUCGGCGAGGUGGCUGCGCCUGUGGCAGAUGUGGCCGCUGCCAUGGCCGGCGCUAGACCUAGUCGAUCUCCCUCUUCUGUAUUUGAGAAAAAAAAAUCUCCCUCUUCUCUUCUGAUGAGAAGGGGAAGAGAUGGUGAGAGAUGAAGUCGACGGCUUUGGGGAGAGGAUACGGGAGGACGCCGGUAGUGAGGCGGCAUGAGGAAGACAAGGUGGUUGGCAGCGGCAAUGCGUGAGGGGAGGGCAAGGGAGGUGUAGUGGUGCAUGUUGAGGAGUGGGUGUGCAGCGUGCCCAGUUCUCGAGGGAGUAAAGAGGUCGUCAAGGGAGUGAUCCAUGGGAGUUUUUUUUCCUUCUGAGCGAGCCUAGUUGGGCUCUCUGCGGCGUCUAGGCCCAAUGCACCACAUGUCUUCAAAUUGGCCACCAGUAGCAGCCCAUAGAACAGACAGGGCCAGUUUACAAAUUUUAAAACAUAAGUUUUUUAGCGCCCAUGAAAAACAGAACACAUAUCUUUCCAAACAUAAUGAACUAUAGGUACCACCAAAAAAACCAUAAUGAACUUUAGGUUGUUACAAGAACUCAUGCCUUCCAACAGCCUCCCUCCAACCCUGCCAACAUUGUAGCAGCUGCACUCGCAAGCGUUACCAUAGGUGAUCAUUUGCAUGAUUUCGCGUAAAACAAAAUAAGAUCUACAAACGAAUAGAAGCUACACAUACCUUGGCAUGCACACACAUUGCAAGCCAUACUAAGGUGAUAAGUGUUAAUAACUUGUACAACAUAUACAACACUUAAGAUAAGUAAAAGCAAUUUGAUGAGUCAUGGUCUAUCAAAGCAAGAUGCAUUACUACUCUAAUCUAUCUUAACAGGUCACACAUGAUUACAAUCCUUGUUGUGUGCAAGUCAAGCUUAUCUAGUUUACACGUAACAACUUGUAGAACAUUACACAAUUGAUGUUUGCUAAUAACUUCUAGAAAGCUACAACACUUGACAUGUAAAAAGAAUUUGAUGAGUCAUGACCUACUAAAGCAAGUUACAUUACUAGUCUCAUCUAUCUUAACAGGUCACACAAGAUUACAAACUAAGUUCUGCGCAAGCAAUGCUUAUCUAGUUUACACAUAACAACUUGCAAAACAUUACAAACUUAGUUUCAAAAAAUUAGGCAAUCUAGAUUAGUGUUUGAGUUGUAAAGUGAAUAAGAUGAGUCAUGUGUGUUAUCACAACUUUUUGGUAGUGGAAUGAUAGUGCCACCAAACACAACAUACCAAAUUAUGAUUUUAGGAAGCAUCCAAGCACUUUCCAGACAAGAAAAUGCUAAUUGUGAAGGAGAUGAUGCCAUGUCAGCUAUAAAUAGGCCUGUAGCAUGAUGAUCAUCCUUCCCCAUCCAUCAUUCCCAUAAGUAGAGUGCAUCGUUCAAGCCAAGCAAGCAGUGGUCAAUACAAAUCCACCAUGAAGACCUUUCUCAUCCUUGCCCUCCUUGCUAUCGUGGCGAUUGAGGGAGUCCUGGAUAAGGGGUAUCUGGACAGCCGGACUAUAUUCAUCGUCCGGACUAUAGAAGCGUCAAGACACAAGACUCAAGACUUCGGCUCGUGUCCGGAUGGGACUCUCCUUUGCGUGGAAAACAAGCUUGGCGACCCGGAUAUUAUGUUUCCUUCCUUGUAACCGAGUCCAUGUAAACCCUAGCUCUCCGGUGUCUAUAUAAACCGGAGAGCAUGGUCCUUACAAGGCCGACCACAAUUACAAUCAUACCAUCAUAGGCUAGCUCUUAGGGUUUAGCCUCUACAAUCUCGUGGUAGAUCUACUCUCGUAUUCCACAUAUCUUCAAUAUCAAUCAAGCAGGAAGUAAGGUUUUACCUCCAUCGAGAGGGCCCGAACCUGGGUAAACAUUGUGUCCCUUGCUUCCUGUUACCAUCAUCCUAAGACGCACAGAUUGGGACCCCCUACCCGAGAUCCGCCGGUUUUGACACCGACGUUGGUGCUUCCAUUGAGAGUUCCUCUGUGUCAUCGCUUCGAGGCUUGAUGGCGUCUUCAAUCGUCAACAACACGGUCCAGGGUGAGACUUUUCUCCCCGGACAGAUCUUUAUGUUCGGCGGCUUCGCACUGCGGGCCAAUUCAUUUGGCCAGUUGGAGCAGAUCGACAGCCUCGCCCCUGGCCACCAGAUCAGGUUUGGAAACUUGAACUACACGACAGAUAUCCGCGGAUACUUGAUCUUCGACGGAUUCGGGCCUGCGCCAGGAGUGCCGGAUAGCCACGACGAGCACGGCCUAGACCUGCUGUCGGAUAGUGCCCGGGACAUUAUCCCCGAAGCAGCCUUGGAUCUAAAUUCAGGACAGGUUGCGGCGCCUAUGGACGGAGGGCUGGACCCCGCUCCGCAGGCCGCACGCUUAUCGGCGGUGGAGCCGAACACUGGCCCCCCCUGUAACCCCGGACCCCCGGACUCAUAUCCGGAUGUUGGUCCUGGUCCGCUCACUCUCGAGCCAGCCGAGCCAGGUUGGGCUCCGGUAAUGGAGUUUACCGCUGCGGACAUCUUUCAGCACUCGCCCUUUGGCGACAUGCUGAGCUCAUUGAAGUCUCUCUCUUGGUCAGGAGACUCUGGGGCGAACUAUGUCCGACCCGAGUGGGAAGCAUGCGAUGAAGGAAUUCGGCGCCCACCCACCACCCACUUCAUUGCCACGAUCAAAGAAUUAGCCGACGUGCUCAACUCCGGAGACAUCGAUGGUAUGGACGACGAUGCAGGAGAGGCUCCAGAACACCUGGAGCGCGGGACUACUACCUUGUCACACGACAUAUACAUGGUAGAUACGCCCAAUAAGGACGGCAACCCGAACGAUAAAACACCCGGGCAAAAGCCAAAGAGGCGGUGCAGACGCCGCUCAAAGUCUAGCAAUGGCAAAAAUAGAGACAAGAGCGCAAGAAGGGUUGAUAUACCCGCAAACUCUGAAAGCAAUAAUGACCACAUGGACCCAACGAUGGAGCAGGACGAGCCAGGUCACACCAAAUAAAGUUCGGAGAAAAUACCCGAUCACAACGAUCCGGAGGGACGAGCUCAUGAUGCCACCCCAGAACAGGAAGACAAUCUGGACAACGAUGCAUUCAUCAUCCCGGACGAACAAGUGGAACGAGACAACCUCCACAGAAAGCUUAUGGCCACCGCAAGAAGUCUAGAAAAGCAGAAGCAACGGCUCAAGGCUGCACGGGAAAAGCUAAGUCGCAGAUGGAACAGGGUGCUAGACACCGAAGAAAGAUAUGGCGAUGACCGUCAUACGAAAAGCUAUCCGAAGCGCAAGCUGCUGCCAGAAUUCGACGAUGCGGCCGUUCCGCCAAAAGAAAAUUCGACCAAGAAACCAGACGUACCGCCUCACAACCAUAAUAGAGCGGCCGUGGACACUGCGCACGAUCCACGCGGGCAUCCGAAUAAAAAGACCGGUGCAGCCAGGUCCAUAUAUGGAUCUAGAAGACACACCCCAACGCAGAACUAUGGUCACCCAAACAUUCAUAAAAGCCAGAUACCAGUUCGGAAUCAACCCCGGACACAACAACAGCCAACUACAUGCCACAACGCGUCCAGAUACAGAGGGGCUGCUUACCACCUGUGCUUCACCGAAGAAGUACUGGACCAUGAAUUCCCACAAGGAUUUAAACCUGUGAACAUAGAAGCAUACGCCGGCACGACAUACCCAGGGGUCUGGAUCGAGGAUUUUAUCCUACAUAUUCACAUGUCUCAUGGGGAUGACCUCCACGCCAUCAAAUACCUUCCCCUCAACUUGAAGGGACCAGCUAGACACUGGUUGGAAAGCCUCCCCGAAAACUCAAUUGGGAGUUGGGAGGUGAAAGGAUCGAUAUAGUUGGGGGGGGGGGUGAAUAGGAAACUAACAAUUUUUAAGCUUUUCUUUACCAAUUUAAACUUUGCAUCAAAAUAGGCUGUCUAGAUAUGCAACUAUGUGAGCAACCUAUAUGAUGGAAUAACAACUAGCACAUAAGCAAGCAAUGGAUACAACACAAGUAAGCUUGCAAAAGUAAAGGCAUGAAAUAACCAAGAGUGGAGCCGGUGGAGACGAGGAUGUGUUACCGUAGUUCCUUCCUUUUAAGGGGAGGUACGUCUCCAUUAGAGCGGUGAGGAGGCACAAUGCUCCCCAAGAAGCCACUAGGGCCACCGUAAUCUCCUCAUGCCCUCACACAAUGCGAGAUGCCGUGAUUCCACUAUUGGUGCCCUUGAAGGCGGCGACCGAACCUUUACAAACAAGGUUGGGGCAAUCUCCACAACUUAAUUGGAGGCUCCCAACGACAGCAUGAAGCUUCACCACAAUGGACUAUGGCUCCGAGGUGACCUCAACCGUCUAGGGUGCUCCAACACCCAAGAGUAACAAGAUCCGCUAGGGAUUAGUGGGGGGAAUCGAAUAUCUCUUGGUGGAAGUGUAGAUCGGGGCCUUGUCACCCAAUCCCGAGCAAAUCAACAAGUUUGAUUGGCUAGGGAGAGAGAUCGGCCGAAAAUGGAGCUUGGAGCAACAAUGGAGCUUAGGGAUGGAAGAGGUGGUCAACUAGAGGUAGGAGACACACCUUUUAUAGUGGAGGACAACAUCCAACCGUUAUCCACUUAGACCAGCCUGCGACAUGUGGUACUACUGCUCCAGGAGCGCGGUAUUAUCGCAAGGCCAUGCGGUACUACCGUGGGAGACCACGGUACUACCGUGGCAGCUACAGAGAUUAUAAGACAAGCAGUACUACCGCGAGCGCGGUACUACCGCUCCCACCUGCGGUACUACCGCGAGGCAGGUAAGUCCUAGUCUGGAAACGGCACGGAUGAAUAAAAAUACAUCCGUGCCUACUUCCGUGGUCAAAGAGACGAUGCAAACAUCCGUCACGGUACUACCGUGCACAAGGCGCGGUACUACCGUGUGUGCGCAGAUGUAAAAAAUUACAUCCGCCCCUACUACCGUGAAGCAACGGCACUAGGCCAGGGAACCACGGUACUACAGCUCGGGGGGAGCGGUACUACCGUGGGCACCCACGGUACUACCGCCCUCAACGUGUGGUACUACCGUGUGGGCGCGGAUGUAAAAAUUUACAUCCGCGCCUACUACCGCGAGGCAGCGAUACUUGGCCAGGGAGCGACGGUACUACGACUCCGAAUGAGCGGUACUACCGUGGGCUCCCGUGAUACUACCGCACAUGGGCACGGUACUACCGCAAGUGCUUGCGGUACUACCGCUCCAGGGAGCAGUACUACCGCAAGCUCAGCAACAGUAGUCCAGACACUCACAUAGAGGAUAGAUGGGGAAUGCUCCAAAGUGCAAGGGAAAGGAGGAGACAAGGAAGGAAACGUGUACGUGAUGAUUCCACCCGAACCUUUCUGACGUGGACCCCCUCUUAAUAGUACGGCUCUCCAACGACUCAAAUCCACCAAAAAGAAACAUAGAAAUACGCCGUCUUCAAUAGUCUUCGAGGGGCACCGAACCGUCUUGUGCCUAGCGAUGAAGCAACUGAGAAACUCAAGGCACACGAUUAGUCCGCUAAAGCAUUGUCAUCAAUCACCAAAACACUUAGGGAUAAAAAUGCCCUUACAAUAUCCCCCUUUUUGGUGGAUGACAAUACGGGAUUUUCACAAGGGAAAAAAUAAUGAGCAUAGGCAAACCCCUCCUCUCUAAAAUGUAGACGGGCUCCCCCUAGAUGUGUGCAAUCUAGAUGGAUGCUUUGGACUGCACAACACACUAGCUAGGAUUAACACUCCCCCUAUAUUUUAGAGACAAGGCAUGUAAGACUAACAAUCUAAGUAAGUGCAUAAACAAAGGUAGCACAAUAUAACACUAGCUCACUAAGAUAGGUAGAGUGCAUAUGUCUUACACCAUAUGAGGGACAAACUAAACCAAAUCAACCGAAACAACCGAAACGAGGUUCAAAUGAGACACGCAAACACACGAAACACGACACACGACUCACAAAUCCCUACACUCUCUCCUCCUUUGGCAUCGAGACGCCAAAAAGGCAGAGAGGACACCUACACACAAGUGGUGGCUCAAGCAGAGAAAUCAUCCCAAUGAUCCUCUUCAGACCCGGCAGCAAGAAUGGUCUCCUCGACGUCCUCCUUAGAAUCAGUCCACUUGUAGCCUUGUUUCUCCAUCCACUCAACCUCUGGAGUAAUGUGAUCCUCAGACCCACCAGACACGUCCUCUCCAUACAGCUUCAGAAUCUUCUUGUCAUGGCGACGACUCUCCUUGGAUGCCACGUGAGUCCUGUACUGCCCCUUAGCUUGUAUGCAUAAAAGAGUCUUCAUCUUGUCCUUCAGCUUCUUGGCCCACAAGGGCAUAGAGGAACUAUGGGAAGACCCAGCAGCACGGUUAGCAGCAACAUCCUCUGCUUCAGCCUCAUCCUCAUCAACAACCCUCUUAGCAGUAGUCGCCUCAGCACGAGUAGUAGUGUUGGCCCAUUUGGACUUGACACGGAGACUGAUGGGAUCAUGCCGAAUCCAGUCAGGAGCAAGGAACUCAUCACCAGGGUACUGCUUCGCCCAAGUCUUGGAGAUCAACAGAAACAUGUAUGGUCCAUAGAUAGGCACCUUGCUGUUGAACACCGCAAACCGAAGCUCACACCACAUGAUGUGUGUGACAUCAAGUGGCUGAGUCUGAGAUACGCGAGCCUCCUCGCAGAGGAGCAUCAUAUCCACCAUAUAGGCAUGGACCUUGUCCUUGUCACCAAUGCGAGGGAACAGAGAGUUGCGGAAGAUGCGAUACAUGAUAUCCAGAAAAGAGUUGAGCAUCCACGUUGACUUGCUAUUGGCAAGCACCUUCUCAACAUAGAACGGCUGAAGCUUGUCCUUGUUCGCAGACUCAGAAUUGGCAUGGGGGCGAACACCCACUGGUGAGUUGAGCCCGUCAUCAGGAACCUGGAGCAGAUCCAUGAACUCCUUCCAGGUAGCAGUCAACUGACGACCAUUGGUCGUCCAGGUCAUCCUCCGCUCCUCCCCAGGGUGAAAGAACACUGAGGCAAAGAACUGACAAAUAAGCUCAGGGUCAUAGUCAAGAUGGAAAGAGAUCACAUGCUCAAUAUCAAACUGCUCCACCAAAUCCAGAGCUUCUCCAAAGUACUCACGAUACAUAUCCUUCCUCAGGUGAUGCAUGUCUAUCCACCUGACAUCCACAUAGGUAUUUUGCUUGUUCUUGAUGACAUCCAGAUAGGUGAGAGUCUGCUGCUUGUUCGAAAACAACUCACAGCCUCUAACGGUAGCACGAGGAAUCACAUACGGGUUGAGCUGCCUGAGACGGAUGUACUCAGAUUGGGGUAUCUCGUCCAUGCCCUUAGCGGGUUCCUUGUGCUUGCUAGCGGUGGCCUUGACAUGGCGCUUGGGGGCAGAGGAGGAGCCCUCUGGUGCAUCACUUGGAUUGCACAGACGCUUGGAGCCAGUGUCACGACUGGGAUUGGAACGACGAGAGCCACCACCUGAGACACAAAAUGCAAAACACCCACGACAGGCAAAAAGGAUCAAUGCAAAGACCACGGCAAAGCACAAGAACCACAUAGGAAGUAUACGUGAAAGUUUCCAUGAGAUAGAUGGGAUCCACGGUAGUACUGCCGGAUGCGGUGGUACUAAAAUUUUAGUACCGCUCCAAGUCGCAGUAGUACCGGGGUGGGAGCGGUAGUAAAAUUUUAGUGUCGUAGCGUGCACGGUAGUACCGCGCCUGACGGGCGGUAGUACCAGACAAGCGGUAGUACCGCAUAGGUGGCGCGGUAGUACUGCACCGCGUCAGAUCCAAACCAAAGUUUGAAUCUGAGAAGAACCGCGAAACCACGGCGGUACUACGGUUGAUCAAAUCUAGCACAGGACAAAAAGACAAGUAUAAUCCCUACACGAUACUACUCUCCUACAGCCUACUCUUGCAUAGAUUUAGCCUAAAAUCUCAAGAACACACAAGUCUUCCCCACAAACCUAGAGGCAAAGAAAACAACAAAAGCGAGAGGGAGUUGGGAAAAGACCCUUGCCCAUGGCAAGAGCACGUGGUGGGGAAUGAUCCCACCGAACGGAAUCGCAGGAGAGCAGCCGGAGGCGGAGAUCCGGCGAAGGACCCCGGCCCCGUUCUUGAGCGAGGGAGAGAGAGACGAAGUGGGAAACUGAUGAAUGGGUAUGGGGGAGUUGGAACUCCCCCUCCCCAUCCUUAUCCCCACGCGUCAAAGAUGUCGCGGUAGUACCGCACAUCAUCACGGUAGUACCGCUUGGGUGGAACUACCGCACCGAAGCAGUAGUACCGCUCUCCCAGGCGGUAGUAAAAAAUUACUGCCGCGUGGGGCGGUAGUACCGAGAUCUCCACACGCGUAGUACCGUAGCAUGCUGCGGUAGUACCGUGAGCUCAAGAAAAAGCAGGUUUCAACACAAAAGAGGUCUUUGCAAGGAAACUUUUAGCACAAGAGACACCACAAGAACACGCACAACCCAAAGGCAGAAAGACAACAAGAAGCAACCACGCAACACACCCUCUCAAAAAGCGAGGGCGGUGGCCGGAGCCACCUAUGUUUGAGUCAGUUUGUAUGGCACCGCAAAGAAUUAUCCUUGGGCCCAUGACCGAAACUCAUCUUUGAAGCACAAGUUCCAUAAAAAAUGGUUAAUGUGACAGAGUUGAUCGAUUUAUGCAUAAUGGGGGAGGGAGGGUUCAUUGAGAGAACGGUACUCCCCCUAUGUCCAUGCCCACACCUAAACUAGACAACAAGUUGAGUGAGGUGGGGUGUGCACAGGCUCAAGUCACAUUGCUCGAACCAAUGAUAUUUAGCUCAUGCCUUAACUCGCGAAAUCGUGCUUCAUCAAAGGGCUUCGUGAAAAUAUCUGCAAGGUUAUCAUGAGUGUUGACAUACUUGAGCUUGAUCUCCCCUCGCCUACUGUGAUCCCGGAUGAAGUGAUACCGAAUCUCAAUAUGCUUCGUCUUGAAAUGUUGCACCGGGUUGAGAGAAAUCUUGAUGGCACUUUCAUUGUCACACCAAAGAGGCACUUUGUCACAAAUGACACCAUAUUCCUUUAAAGUUUGCCUCAUCCAUAAGAGUUGUGCACAACAACUACCGGCCGCCACAUAUUCCGCUUCGGUGGACGAGAGAGACAAACAACUUUGCUUCUUGGAAGACCAACUCACCAAAGAGCAACCAAGAAAUUGGCACCCUCCAGAAGUGGACUUCCUAUCCACCUUGUCUCCCGCCCAAUCGGAAUCCGUAAAUCAUUCAAGCUUGAAGUUAGCUCCUCUUGGGUACCAUAGGCCAAAGUUUGGGGUAUGAGCCAAAUAUCGAAAGAUUCGCUUGACCGCCACAAAGUGGCUUUCCUUUGGUGCGGCUUGAAACGGUGCACACAUUCCCACACUCAACAUGAUAUCUGGUGAUGCACAAAGGUAAAGCAAGGAUCCAAUCAUAGAGUGAUAUACCUUUUGAUUCACCGCUUUACCAUUGGGAUCAAUGUCAAGUUGGCACUUGGUGAGCAUUGGAGUAGAGGCCGGAUUGACAUCACUUAGCUUGAAUCUCUUAAGCAUGUCUUGAGUGUAUUUGGCUUGGUUGAUGAAGGUACCUUCUCUUUUUUGUUUGAUAUCAAAACCAAGGAAGAACUUUAACUCUCCCAUCGAAGACAUCUUGAACUCAGAGGUCAUGAGAGCGGCAAAUUCUUCAUUGAAAGCAUUGUUAGGGGAACCAAAGAUAAUGUCAUCAACAUAUAGUUGGCACACAAACAACUCCCCUUUUACCUUCUUAGUAAAAAUAGUGGGACCGAUUUGCCCAACUUCAAAUCCACGAUCUUGUAACAACUCGGUAAGGUGGUCAUACCACGCACAUGGGGCUUGUUUAAGGCCAUAGAGUGCCUUAUCGAGUUGAUACACAUGAUCCGGGAAGUAAGGAUCCUCGAACCCGGGGGGUUGCUUGACAUAAACCAACUCAUUAAUAGGACCAUUAAGAAAAGCACUUUUCACAUCCAUUUGUUGUAACUUAAAGUUGUGAUGGGAAUCAUAAGCAAUCAACAAACAAAUGGAUUCAAGGCGAGCAACAGGAGCAAAGGUUUCACCGUAGUCGAUACCGUCGACUUGGGAGUAGCCUUGUGCUACCAAUCUUGCCUUGUUGCGAAUGAUGUUCCCAUGAGCGUCUUGCUUGUUCUUGAAAAUCCACUUGGUUCCAAUGACAUUAUGGUUCCCCGACGGCCGUGGCACCAAUCUCCACACCUUGUUGUACUCGAAGUUGUUAAGUUCUUCAUGCAUGGCAUUGAGCCAAUCUGAAUCUUCGAGCGUCUCAUAGACCUUUUGGGGUUCAACACAAGAGACAAACGCGUGAUGUUCACAAUAGUUUGCUAAUUGUCUACGAGUGCUUACCCCCUUUCUUAGGCUUCCAACCACAUUCUCCAUAAGAUGGCCUUUGGUGGUGAGCUUGGAAGCAAUCUUUGCGGCACAACGCUCUAGUUCCUCCUCGGAUGUGGAGGAAGGAGGAUCAACUUGAUUAUCUUGAGCGCCGUCUUGAGCUUGUUCGAGAUCUUGAUCUUGCUCUUGAUCUUGAACUUGCUCAAGGGGGAAAACUUGACCUUGGGCAUCAUUUGGUGGAUCACCACCAUCUUGAGUUUGAUCUUGCCCUUGGUCUUGUUUAUGAGGUUGCGAGCCUUCACUUUGUUGUUCGGAAGCAUGUGGGUCUUGGGGAGGUGAUGGCUCCACUUGAGUGGAGCAUUGUCCUUCUCCUUCGGCCACAAGGGGUUCCUCAAUGGGUAGAAUAUGACCAAUACCCAUUCUUCUUAUGGCUUGGGGAGGAAUUUCAUCACCUACAUCACAAGUACCACUUUGCUCCACUUGGGAGCCGUUAUUUUCGUCAAACUCCACGUUACACGUCGCCUCAAUGAGUCCGGUGGACUUGUUGAGAACACGGUAAGCAUGAGAGUUUGUAGCAUAACCAACAAAUAUGCCCUCAUAAGCUCUAGCCUCAAAUUUAUACAAACGGACACCCUUUUUGAGAAUGAAACACUUACACCCGAACACCCGGAAGUACUUGAGAUUGGGCUUGUUACCGGCGAGGAUUUCAUAAGGAGUCUUGUUCAAGCCUUUGCGGAGAUAGAGCCGAUUUGAUGCAUGACACGCGGUGUUGAUGGCUUCGGCCCAAAAGUUGUAUGGAGACUUGAACUCCGCCAUCAUGGUCCUUGCCGCAUCCAUCAACUUCCGGUUCUUCCUCUCCGCAACACCAUUUUGUUGAGGGGUGUAUGGAGCUGAAUAUUGAUGCUUGAUCCCCUCAUCACUAAGGAGCUCGUCCAAGGUGUAGUUCUUGAACUCGGUGCCGUUGUCACUUCUUAUUGUCAAGAUCUUUGCAUCAUGUUGUCAUUGAGCUUCAUUUGCAAAGUCGAUGACGGUUUGUUGGGUUUCACUCUUCCUCUUGAAGAAAUAUACCCAAGUAUAUCUUGAAUAAUCAUCCACAAUCACCAAGCAAUACUUUAUUCCCCCAAGACUAUCAAAGGAUGGAGGCACAAAGAGGUCCAUGUGAAGGAGCUCCAAGGGUCUCUUCGAGUAGAUGAUAGUCGUGGGAGGGUGAGCCGUCUCAUGAAGCUUUCCUUCGAUACAAGCACUGCAAGCAUGAUCUUUGGCAAAACUAACAUUUUUUAGUCCACGGACAUGGUCCCCCUUGAGAAGACUUUGCAAAGAUCUCAUAUUGACGUGGGCUAAACGGAAAUGCCAAAGCCAUCCCACAUCAACUUUAGCCAUUAGGCAUGUCGCGGUCUUAGUGGGUCGCUCCGAAAAGUUAAUCACAUAGAGACCGUUCUCGACAUGCCCAACAAAGGCUACUUUAAGAGUCUUGCUCCACAAUAGGGCCACGGUAUCAACAUCAAAGAAGGUGGCAAAGCCCAUGAGUGCGAGUUGACGAACGGAAAGUAAAUUGUAUGCAAGGGACUCAACAAGCAUGACUUUCUUGAUCGUUAGAUCAUGAGAAAUGACAACCUUGCCAAGACCCAAUACCUUAGAAUGUGAGGCAUCACCCCACUCGACAUUUUUGGGCAUAGAUGGGAUCUUUUGCACGUCCACCACCAAGUCCUUGCUCCUGGUCAUAUGAUUUGUUGCUCCACUAUCGAGCAACCAUGAUCCCCCACCAGAAGCAAACACCUACAAGAGAUCAAUGCUUGGUUUAAGGUACCCAUUGAGUAAUGGGUCCUUUGAUGUUAGUAACAAGGGUCUUAGGAACCCAAAUAUACCAUUCAAUGUACUCAUAAGAAGAACCAACAAAUUUAGCAUAAACAUGCCCAUCACUAGCACGGCACAACACAUAAGAAGGGUUAAAGUCGCCGACUUUGUUGGGAGAGGUGACUUUGCCCUUUUUGGCAUCACCACUCUUUGCAGUGUUCUUCUUCUCCUUAGGAGUACCCUCUCCCUCCUUCACAAAAGUUUUCUUAAGCGGGGGAGGUCGUUUGAUCUUGUCAUUCUUCUUCUGGUUCUUCUUCUUGUUCUUGGACUUGGGUGAGAACCCACCUCCCUCCUUUGCCACAACUUCAUUUUGAUUGCUCAAAAGGUCAUUUAGGUUCUUCUCACCUUGUAUGCAUGACACAAGGACUCUCUCGAGUUGUUCCUUCAACUUGGCAUUCUCCUCCACAAGAUGCACAUGCUCACAACACGGGUCAGUAGCAUUUGCGUUAUCAAUUAAGAUUAAGUGAGGAAAGGUGGCCUUCUCCUUGGUUAGCUUAACUUGGAGUUGAGCAUGAGACUUCUUGAGGUUAGUAUGAGCACCCUUCAAGACCUUGUGGGCCUUGUCAAGCACAUCAAACUCCUCCUUGACUCUAGCAUGAUCAACCCCAAGUUUAGCCUUCUUGGAAGUCAGCACACGAGACACAACAAGAGCAUGAUCGAGAUCUUCCUUUAACUUGGCAUGGUCAUCGUUUUGUGACUCCUCAAGAGCCAAACGAUGCCCACACUCUUCCUCAAGAGCAUUAGAGAGAUCCGAUAUCUCAUCGACAUAGUCAUGACUAUGACCUUCCAUCUUAGAGAUGGUUUCUUUGUGAGCCUCGAUCAUGUCAUUGGCUUCACCAAGUUGUUCCAAGAGAGCAACAAAGUGCUUCUUGGAUUUGCCCUUGAGCUUACUCAUAAAGGACUCAAAAUCAUUUACCUCCUCAUUAGACCCCUAACCAUCAUCAAUCCCAACCGUCAAACAAGGAUUAGGAAUAAUGGUGGUUUUGAUGUUGGGGGUUACCUUGUUGGUGGCUUUAGCCAUGAGGCACUUGGCGGUGAUGUUCUCGUUGGGUGAAUCGAAGAGAGACACCCGGGAGUUGUGGCAAUGGCAACGGAUGCCAUGGCCAUUGAUUCACUAUCUUCAUCAUCAUCGUCAUCCUCACGGUACUCCUCUUGAACCACCAACCCUUGAGUAGGAGUCUUCUUGGUGAAGUUGUUCUUGUUGGGGAAAGACUUGGCUUUGUCUCUCCGGAUGAGCUUGCCACCAUUGUCUUCCCGCUUCUCGUAAGGACAAUCCGCAACAAAAUGGCUCACAUUGCCACAGUUGAAACAAGUUCUAACUCGUUGCUUGCUCUUGAAGCCACUUGAGUUGUUCUUGUUGAAAUUGGGUCUUGAGUUCUUCUUGCUCCAAAAUUGCCUUGAAGCGAGAGCCAUGUGCUCGUGAUAAUCAUAUUUUGUAUCUUCGGUAUUGCUCUCCUCAUCUUCCUCUUCUUCCUCUUCUUCCACAAUAACCUUGGCCUUCAAGGCAAGGUUGGGCUUCUUUGCUCCUUGAGACCGGAGCACCGCAUUAUCGGCGGUCUUGUCCAAGAUGCUCAUUGCAACGAACUCAUCCAACACUUAACUUGAGGUCAUGGAGUGGAAGUCCGGCCUUUGACGAAUGACGGAGGACAUGGACUUGUUGUAGGGCAUCAUGGCCUUGAGAAACUUGCGUUUGAUCCAAUUGUCAUACGUGUCCUUGCUCCCAUGAUCUCGGAGCGAGACCGCAAGUUUGGUUACUCUCCGAAAGAGCUCACGAGGUUCUUCAUCUUCCUUCAUAGCAAACUCAUCGGCUUCAUCUUGCACUACUUCAUAGUUGGAGCAUUGAAUGCUCGCGCUUCCCCAAUAAAGAGACACAACGCACCGCCUCGCGUCUUUGGCCGUGGAGUAGGGUCGAAGAUGAGGGAGAUCUUUGGGGAGAAUUGCUUCUUGGUUGAUGAAGAGAGCAUUCUCAUUGAAUUGAUUAUCCACGGCUUCUUGAGGGGUGAAGUUGCUUGGGUCAUGUGGAUAGAAACCUUCUUCAAUGAUUCUCCAAAGAUUAGUAUUCACAUGCUUUAAAUGACGCUUGAAGCGAUACACCCAAGAAUCAAAAUCCUCAUUUUUCACAAUCUUAGGAGGAGGACCGACAUGAUUUAAAUGAGUAGACGGAAUCGGUCCACCAUAAGUUGGAGGUUCCACAUGGGCAAAGAUGCCGGAACCAUUUUUACCGCUUGUAGAAGGACCCUUUUCACUGUUAGCUUCCCCUUGUCGGAGGUAGCAUCCGUCACCUUGUUAGCGGGAUCACCCACUUUCAUCAGCGAGGUGGACAAUUUAAGUCCUUCUAAAAAUUUAGUAAACAUGCUUUCAACCUUGGUCCUCAUGGAGUCUUUCAAUGUGUCUAGAGCCACAUUGAAUUCCUCACGAGAGACCGAGGUUCCCCCAUCGGCCAUAGACGAGGUAGGAUUCACGCCGGAGUGCUCUUCCACAACGUCUAUGGCGUCAACCAUACUCUUCGGACGGCAAAGUCCUUAAUAAAGAGACGAAGCUCUGAUACCAAUUGAAAGGAUCAAUAUAGUUGACUAGAGGGAGGGGUGAAUAGGCAACUAACAAUUUUUAAGCUUUUCUUUACCAAUUUAAACUUUGCAUCAAAAUAGGUUGUCUAGAUAUGCAACUAUGUGAGCAACCUAUAUGAUGCAAUAACAACUAGCACAUAAGCAUGCAAUGGAUACAACACAAGUAAGCUUGCAAAAGUAAAGGCACGAAAUAACCAAGAGUGGAGCCAGUGGAGACGAGGAUGUGUUACCGAAGUUCUUUCCUUUUAAGGGGAAGUACGUCUCCGUUAGAGCGGUGUGGAGGCACAAUGCUCCCCAAGAAGCCACUAGGGCCACCGUAAUCUCCUCACGCCCUCACACAAUGCGAAAUGCCGUGAUUCCACUAUUGGUGCCCUUGAAGGCGGCGACCGAACCUUUAUAAACAAGGUUGGGGCAAUCUCCACAACUUAAUUGGAGGCUCCCAACGACAACACGAAGCUUCACCACAAUGGACUAUGGCUCCGAGGUGACCUCAACAGUCUAGGGUGCACAAACACCCAAGAGUAACAAGAUCCGUUAGGGAUUAGUGGGGGGAAUUGAAUAUCUCUUGGUGGAAGUGUAGAUCGGGGCCUUGUCACCCAAUCCCGAGCAAAUCAACAAGUUUGAUUGGCUAGGGAGAGAGAUCGGCCGAAAAUGGAGCUUGGAGCAACAAUGGAGCUUAGGGAUGGAAGAGGUGGUCAACUAGAGGUAGGAGACACACAUUUUAUAGUGGAGGACAACAUCCAACCGUUAUCCACUUAGACCAGCCUGCGACAUGCGGUACUACUGCUCCAGGAGCGCGGUACUACCGCAAGGCCACAUGGUACUACCGUGGGAGACCACGGUACUACCGCGGCAGCUGCAGAGACUAUAACACAAGCAGUAUUACCGCGAGCGUGAUACUACGCUCCCACCUGCGGUACUACCGCGAGGCAGGUAAGUCCUAGUCUGGAAAUGGCACGGAUGAAUAAAAAUACAUCCGUGCCUACUUCCGUGGUCAAAGAGACGAUGCAAACAUCCGUCACGGUACUACCGUGCACAAGGCACGGUACUACCGUGUGUGUGCGGAUGUAAAAAAUUACAUCCGCCCCUACUACCGUGAAGCAACGGCACUAGGCCACGGAACCACGGUACUACAGCUCGGGGGGAGCGAUACUACCGUGGGCACCCGCGGUACUACCGCCCUCAACGUGCGGUACUACCGUGUGGGCGCGGAUGUAAAAAAUUACAUCCGCGCCUACUACCGCGAGGCAGAGGUACUUGGCCAGGGAGCCACGGUACUACGACUCCGAAGGAGCGGUACUACCGUGGGCUCCCACGGUACUACCGCGCAUGGGCACGGUACUACAACAAGUGCCUGCGGUACUACCGCUCCAGGGAGCAGUACUACCGUAAGCUCAGCAACAGUAGUCCGGACACUCACAUAGAGGAUAUACGGGGAAUGCUCCAAAGUGCAAGGGAAAGGAGGAGACAAGGAAGGAAACGUGUACAUGAUGAUUCCACCCGAACCUUUCCGACGCGGACCCCCUCUUAAUAGUACGGCUCUCCUACGACUCAAAUCCACCAAAAAGAAACGUAGAAAAACACCAUCUUCAAUAGUCUUCGAGGGGCACCAAACUGUCUUGUGCCCAGCGAUGAAGCAACUGAGAAACUCAAGGCACACGAUUAGUCUGCUAAAGCAUUGUCAUCAAUCACCAAAACACUUAGGGAUAAAAAUGCCCUUAUAGGAGGAACUCGAAAACGCUUUCAGGGCCAAUUUUCAAGGGACUUAUGUCUGGCCUCCGGAUGCAGACGAUCUAAGUCACAUAAUCCAACAGCCCGGAGAGUCCGCCCGCAAGCUUUGGAACAGAUUCCUCACUAAGAAGAAUCAAAUUGUCGACUGUCCGGACGCUGAAGCCUUAGCGGCUUUCAAACACAGCAUCCGUGACGAAUGGCUCGCCGGCACCUCGUCCAAGAAAAGCCUGCCUUUACGGGCCAACCAGCUAUCCUCACCCGCGUAAAAGCGGGUUAUAAGGCUUGUUAAGGCUGCCAUUGUCCUGAUUCAGGGGCUCUCGACCUGGUCAGCAAAAGAAGCCAUUGAAAGGCAGUAAAGACGGAUCGUCCGGUCUGAACAGAGUCUUGGACAGACUAUGCCAAAUUCAUGGCACCCCGGAGAAACCUGCAAACCACACCCAUAGAGAGUGCUGGGUUUUCAAGCAGGCCGGCAAAUUAAAUGCCGAACACAAGAGGAGGGACACACCAAACGAAGAAGAGGAUGAACCCCACCAGCCGAACACCGGGGUACAGAAAAAAUUCCCGCUAGAGGUUAAAACAGUCAACAUGAUCCAUGCGACUCGCACAUCCACGAGAGGGCAUAAAACACUCGCCCAUAGAAGCACACGAUGUAGAGCCCGUCGUACCCACGUCUCACUACUGGAUGUCUCGUCCGAUCACAUUCGAUCACACGGAUGACCGAACUAGUAUUCGGCACGGAGGAUCACAGGCCUUGGUGCUUGACCCACUAAUCGAUGGAUACCGUCUCACCCGCGUCCUCAUGGACAGCGGCAGUGGUCCCAAUUGAAUAUACGAGGAUACUGUCCGCAGAAAGGGGAUAGACCCAUCCAGAAUUAAACAAAGCAACAUCACCUUUGAAGGGGUGAUACCAGGCGUUGCAGCCUGCGCCAGGGGCUCCGUCGUGCUAGAAGUAACAUUCGGCUCCCCAGGCAACUCCAGAAGCGAAGAGAUGCUCUUCAAUAUCGCACCCUUCCAAAGCAGCUAUCACGCAUUGCUAGGAAGAACGACCUUCGCCUGCUUCAACGCACUGCCACACUAUGGCCACCUUACACUCAAGAUGCCCGGUCCCCGUGGCGUCAUCACUGUUAGCAGAAUCAUAAAGCGCCAUUCAUGCGCAGAGGAAUAUGCGACGGCCCUGGCGGCCGGACUAUAAGCGGCCUCCAGUUUUUAGAAAACAUGAUUGGUCAUUAUGACCACAGACACGGUUAGACGAGUCCGUUAGCCCGGAUAAAUUCAAACAGGGCACUGUAUAUAUAAUCCCGUAAGGGAAACCAGGCGCUGUUUAUAUUUAAUACAGCCCCACGCUUGGCUCGACCUUAUUGGCAGGCCAAUAGUUUACACUCUUAUUAUUAAUCGCAUACUUACGAUGCAGCCUCCUGUGAGUUUUUCUUUUUUACAGACAACGUUCGCGCGAUACCCUUCCAGGAUACGGCACAAUAGAGACAAAGGCGCAGACGUGCAACAGGGCCUUGUGCAACAGGUUUCUUUUUAGAUUAAGCCCCUGUGUAAUCCUUUUCUACUGCCUCUUGUUGUUUAACCAUCCCAUGGGUUCUCUACCCACAGAGGAUACUGCCAUUUUUGGCAUUUGGCCACGGCAGACUAAAAUGCACGUACCUAGAAAUAAAGGGCUUAAAAUAGGCUCUUGUCAGCCUAUCUUCUUUUACAAAAUACCGAAUACCCUCGGGAGUGUUCAGCGUCACGAGUUUGACCAUAUAUGCAUCAGCUCCGAAUCAUGUCUUAGGUCAAAAUGUUGGGUUUGCCCGGCUCCUGGGUAGGCCGCCUUAUGUUUCGCUAUCAUCCGGCUAAGGCAGGCCAAAGGAGAACUACUGCGAUUGUGCCCUGGUUAUUCCGGAUGAGCGCCUCAGUAGAGAAAGCCGAAAACUGACCGUCAUGAUGCAGCGAGAGACUGUUCAACCACUCGAAGACUCACCGGAAUCCCUAAAGAUUCCUUCGCCUUAACGAAGGGCCGUUUUUCGGCCAUGUACACAUGCGCCCAUAUUUGGAUGCACGUAGAGGUACCAGGGGCUACAUAGUCCCCACCAUUAGACUCCCAUGGCUAAGCGAAAGUGUUACAGCUAUAUAGUCUGAUUGCCUAGUUCAGCGUGCGAUCACCUCCUUAACGGACCAAGACGUUGGAUCAAGUGUGCUUAUGCAUAUUUUUUCGCCAACACCCCCGCAUUAUCCGCGAGGGGGCUGAAGCCAACGACUGCUAUCUUUCAGACUACUUAUACAUAUAAGAAUAGCCGCAAAGGGAGGACAAUCAUACUUCCGGGCAAAAGUAUAAACAUAGCCUCAUAAUUAAACUAAACAUUGUUUUCUACAAUGAUUCGACUUAUCACUCGAAUAAAACACUCUUCGAGCACUGCGCCUCUAUCAGGCGGGCACCUUCUGUGACUUGCGCCAAGUAGUGCUCGGCCGGAUGUUGGCCUCCCGACGGAUCCUGGCUUGCUAUUACAGUGGCCUCCAUAUCCGUCCAGUAGGCUUUAACGCGGGCUAGAGCCAUCCGCGCACCUUCUAUGCACGCCGACCUUCUCAGGGCGUCAAUCCAGGACACCGCUCCAAGGAAUUGUUGCACUAAACCAAAGUAGCUGUCCGGCUUAGGCCCCUUCGGCCAAAGAUGGUCUAUUACAGACCGCAUUGCCAGUCCGGACAGCCUGUGGAUCUCCGCCAUAGCAGCCACCUUCUCAUUCAGUGGCAGCUGGCGAGUAGGAGCAUUAAACUGCGACCAGAAAAGCUUCUCCACUUCUUCAUCGCCUUGACCCUCGAAGAACUUGGCAGCGUCAGCUGUACUAUUCACCAAAUCCGCAUAUGCGUCCGCAGGACUCAUGCGACCCGCCAGGGGAGCAUACUUCGGAUCCAAGAACUUCGUCCGCAACAAGUACGAGCCCCCAGCCACGAUUUUGUCAGUUUGUUGGAGCUCCUCCCACAUACUCCGGAUCUCGGUCCGCAUCUCCUUGGCGGCAUUACUUGCCUUGUCCAGCUCGGCCGAACUAGCCUUAUUCUCCUUUUCAAGGAGUGCGUACCGGUCGGCGGCAUUUUUUAACUCUUCAGCCAUUUCGUCUAUCUUUUCCUCUCUUCGGCGAUGAGCAGCCUAUUCGGCUCUCAACUCUUCGACCGCCUUUAGGGCAGCCGCAUUGCUAGCCCGAGCUUGUUCCUUGGCUUGAGCAAGUUCCACCCUCAGGGCCUUCACGGCAGCAGCACCAUCUGCAGUGCACACGUAUUGCAUUAAUAUUAUGCCUUUUGGCAUCUUCGUAUACAUUAUAAUAAAAACCAAGCACAUACCCUGGGACUCCUCUAGCCGUUUAUUCACCAGCGUUAUAUCGGCAUCGAUUGAUCCGAUUUGCCUCCUUAGCUCGACAACUUCAACAGACUGGUCGGCUGCCGGAUCCUUGUAUACCUGCGCACAUGUACGACGCAACCAUUAGUAUAUGAUCCACCGUUUGCCGCUUAUGGCGGGCAACCAGAGUCUCAGGGGCUACUAUCUAUAGGGAGCACACCUAGCGCGUGCUUCAUAACCAAAAAGUUGUGCAUUUUUUCACUACAUACCUCAAAGCCUUUGAGUAGGCUUGUAAAUGCCUCAUUCAAGCCGCCGGUAGCGGAUGAAAUCUUCGUGAGCACCGUGCUCAUUAAAGAGUGGUGCUCCUCCGAGAGUGCGGCUCACUCUAGACGGCCCGUCAGUACGUCCGGCCGGACAUUAAAUUGCGCCGGACCCUUCUCCUCACCCCCCGUGGGAGCCAAACGCUCCGGGCUUAGGGCAGCUGACGUACUAGCCUCCGGCUUUGGCAGAUCCAGACUCCUCCGUGACGACACCUCCGUGUCGCCCGCUUCAUGAGGCGGAGAGCUGGGUGGAGUCUCGCUCUCCAUCAUCUCCGGACGAAGGUCCCCCGAAGACGAACUCUGUUGAGAAGAGCUACUCGCCGGACAACAAAAGGCGAAGUCCUGGUUAUGGAUCUCGGAGUAACGCUACACCUUCGAAUUGAUGAAUAACUUACGGCUCGGUCGAGGGCUGGCCCGUUGGUGGGCAUGACGUGGUGAGGGCGCCCGUCGCGGCAGAACCCCUUGGAGAUGUUUUCUUCCCUUGCUUGGGCGUCUCCGCCUCCAAAUCUUCGGAGGCGGCCCUUUUCCUCCCGCGUGGGGAGGAGGCUUUGACCUCCCCUUCCCGGCUAUCCUCCAUAGGAGGGGUAGCGACUUCCCCGGUCUGGAUGUGCAGCGCGUGAAGUUCAACUUCACUGCCCUUCCCUUCGCCUUUCCCUGUAGGAAUUUUGCUGAGCGCCCGAUCCAGCAUCUUUGCAAUGGUUGGACCAGGCGGGCCUUCAGGAAGUGGCGCCGGACACCUGAUUCUCUUCGCCUUGGCGAGCCAUUCCUGGCCGCGGAGGGAUUGUCAGAAUAACAGUUAUGAUAAAUAUAAAUGAAGUGUCCGGCUUUAAGGUUACUUACUUGGGCAUCUAGGCGAUUGCAGCUUAGGCCCGCAUCCUCGGUGGUGUCCGGACACUUUACUUGUGGUCCAAAGAAUAAUUUACAGAUCCCUUCGAGCUUCAGGCCGAAGAAGUGCUUAAUAGUCCACGGACCCUCCGGAUUAAACUCCCACAUCCGGAGAGGUCGACAUUUGCACGGCAACAUCCGCCGGACUAUCAUCACCUGCAUUAUGCUGACAACAUUUAUGUCCCUCUCAAUAAGCUCCCGGAUACGAUUCUGCAGUUCUGGCACAUCGCCAGCAGGCCCAUAAUUCCGUCCUUCGUCGGUCCAAGACGCUAACUGUGACGGAGGGCCCGAGCGGAACUCGGGGGCAGCUACCCACUUUGUGCCUCUGGGAGCAGUGACAUAGAACCAUCUCCGUUGCCAUACAUCAGACACUUCCGGAAAAGAACCCUCUGGCCAUGGGGCAUCGGCAUUCCUGCUUCUUAUGGCGCCUCCGCACUCCGCAUGUCACCCCUCGAUCAUCUUCGACUUCACAUUGAAGGUCUUUAGCCAUAAGCCGAAGUGUGGGUUGACGUGGAGAAAAGCUUCGCACACAAUAAUGAAAGACGAGAUAUGGAGGAUGGCGUCUGGAGCCAGAUCAUGGAAAUCCAAGCCAUAGUAGAACAUGAGCCCCCUCACAAAGGGGUCGACGGUGAGGCCUAUGCCUCGGAGGAAGUGAGGAGUAAACACGAUGCUCUCAUUGGGCUCCGGCAUGGGGAUGACUUGCCCCGGAGCAUGAAGCCUAUGCUGGAUAUCAGCAGUCAGGUAUCCGACCUCCCUAAGCUUCGCAAUAUCCUCCUCCUGAAUCGAGAAGGCCACCCACCGGCCAGCUGCGUCGGAUCCGGACAUACUGGAGGAUCUGGGGGGCUGGAGCUUAGGUUUUUUGGCGAUGGAGCUCGAGGUAUGAGAAGGAGCGGAGAGGUGGAGAUGAGGCAUAGGCCUCGACCCCUUUAUAAAAGGGAUGAAUACCAAGAGUCCUCAGCGUGGCCGCUUGAGACUUGUCUAAAACACGGAAUUAUACCAACCAUCGCCGUGGGGUCGCAUAUGCCCAUAUUGAUGAAGGAUCCCGUAUUAACAGGGACACGAUCUCUGCUUUGACAGGAUGUGCCGAUAAAACCGGCUCGCAACGCGAGUCGAGGUGGAGCAGGAAGCGCUGGUUCGUGUUGGACCAGGUCAUGAUGCAAGGGCACAAUGUACGAAGAUUGCCAGCAGAACGGAUUUAUGCUAAGGGUAUGUGAAGAUCAUCUUGUAGAUCCGGACACGACCUACGUGUUUGAUAAUCACCUUGGAGUAUUCGGAGGAGGAACCCGCCUUGCAAUGCCGAAGACAAGACUGCACGCCGGACUCAUCAUCAUUGAAGCCUGGUUCAGGGGCUACUGAGGGAGUCCUGGAUAAGGGGGUAUCCGGACAGCCGGACUAUAUUCAUCGUCCGGACUAUAGAAGCGUCAAGACACAAGACUCAAGACUUUGGCUCGUGUCCGGAUGGGGCUCUCCUUUGCGUGGAAGACAAGCUUCGCAAUCCGGAUAUUAUGUUUCCUUCCUUGUAACCAACUCCAUGUAAACCCUAGCUCUCCGGUGUCUAUAUAAACCGGAGAGCAUGGUCCUUAGAAGGCCGAUCACAAUUACAAUCAUACCAUCAUAGGCUAGCUCUUAGGGUUUAGCCUCUACGAUCUCGUGGUAGAUCUACUCUUGUAUUCCACAUAUCUUCAAUAUCAAUCAAGCAGGAAGUAGGGUUUUACCUCCAUCGAGAGCGCCCGAACCUCGGCAAACAUUGUGUCCCUUGCUUCCUGUUACCAUCAGCCUAAGACACACAGAUCGGGACCCCCUACCCGAGAUUCGCCGGUUUUGACACCGACAGCGACCACCGCCACAACUGCAGUUAGAGUUCCAGUGCCACAAUUGCAGCCACAAAAUCCAUCUCAGCAACAACCACAAGAGCAAGUUCCAUUGGUGCAACAACAACAAUUUCUAGGGCAGCAAUAACCAUUUCGACCACAACAACCAUAUCCACAGCCGCAACCAUUUCCUCCACAACUACCAUGUCCGCAGCCGCAACCAUUUCCACCACAACAAUCAUAUCCACAACCACAACCACAGUAUCCGCAACCACAACAAACAAUUUCGCAGCAACAAGCACAACAACAACAAUGACAACAACAACAACAAAUCCUUCAACAAAUUCUACAACAACAACUGAUUCCAUGCAGGGAUGUCGUGUUGCAACAACCCCGAGCUGUCACGGUGCCAAGUCAUCCACAAUGUCGUUCAUGCUAUUAUUCUCCAUCAACAACAACAACAAAAACAACAACAACAACAACAACCGUCGAGCCAGGUCUUCUACCAGCAGCCUCAGCAACAAUAUCCAUCAGGCCAGGGUUCCUUCCAGCCAUCUCAGCAAAACCCACAGGCCCAUGGCUUUGUCCAACCUCAGCAACUGCCACAGUUUGAGGAAAUAAGGAACCUAGCGCUACAGACACUACCAGCAAUGUGCAAUGUCUACAUCCCUCCAUAUUGCUCGACCACCAUUGCGCCAUUUGGCAUCGUGAGUACUAACUGAGAAGAGAAGAACUCUAGUACUAGAUAUAUGAAACACCGUUUUCUUAGACCAUGGUUUGGUCGUUGUAGCGGUGAAGAAUAAAGUGACAUGCACUAUCAUGUAAGAACCCAAACUAGACUAUUUCAAACUUGGAAAUAAAAGACAAACACAGGUCUUGUCUGCAUAUGAUUGUUUGUAUGAGUUCCAUUCAUGUGCCCGUCCACAAGUUCACCCCUAAUUAUAUAUAUUAAGCAUUAAGUAGAUGUUUAUGUGCAUUAAUCUAAAGAUAACAAAAUGAAUCUGAAACUUGAAUUAAAUUGAAGUAUUUUCUUGGACUUUCAAAUUGAGCAUCGAUAGUGAGGUCUAUCCACAUCCUUGGCUUGCCCUUGAUCAAUUUUUUCCAAAGAAGCAUUCAAUUCAUCAGUCAAUUACAUUGAUUUUUGUGGCUUGUACUUCUCCUCAACAUGAGUAUCUUCAUUACGGCUACUCCAAUUCUCCCACAUAACUGAAGCAUUAAUAGCGCUCUUCCUUGCAUCAAGGAAAUAUGGAUCGAAGAUAUAUCUUGACCAUGUUUUUGGGUGCAACCUUGGGAGUUUUAUGCCAAAAUAUUCUCAAGAAGAAUCCAAGAAUAAACUUGCAUGCUGACGUGUGAUAAGGGCAUUAGAAGUAACAUUUCCUCAGCAAGGACACACAUAGGGCACACACAUAACCCCAUCACAUGCCUUUUUAGUUAUGCAUAUGAAGGUAGGAUGUUUUUAAUUACUCUGCACCAAAGUACUCUUAACUUGGAUUGUACGUUAAGCUUUCAUUGCCUUUUCAAUUUUUCUUCCACAUUAGAUGAACUAGAUAGUCCAGCUACCACACGAUACCUUGUGUUCAUCACGGCUCUAUACAACAAUUGAACAGAAGAAAUGUCAUUUCUUUACCAUACCCAUGACCAAAUGUUCUCUGCUACUCUCUCCGUCCGAAAAUACUGCCAUCCAUGUCGACAACAAUGAGACAUAUAGGACCGCUAUGCCUCUGUCGAAGGAGGUGGUGGAGCGAUCCGGAGAUUAUGCUGCCAUCCAUGUUGAGUAAAAACCUCACUGGCCACUUGCUCCAAUCGCAUACACACCACCAUAAACAACGGUUGGUACUCAGUUCGGUGUAGCAUACACCAUGUAGGAAGCAAGUGCUUACUCCUAGUUACUGAAUUAUGUACACCAAAUAAACCCAUUUACACGUAGUUAAUGACCAAAAAAAGGUGAUGCUUGCUACGCAGAUGUGUAGUACAAAUUAAGAAGUGCAAGAUAAAAAGAUGCUGGUCCUUGAUUCGUUGUUGAUCCUCAGCAUGCCAUCAUCAACUUGUAGUUAAUUAUCAUACAAAUUGGCUCUUUCAUAGAGUUGGAGGCUAGCUCCUUUGAUCAGCACGCGCUUAAACACAAAGAACACGUAUAUGUAUUCUCUCCGGAGUUCAACUCUUGAUUGGCCAGCAAAAAUGGUCCGACCGGGUAGAGGAAAGGCAUGUUUGCUAGUACGCCUGGAGGAAAUGCCUUUGAUUAGGGCAUCUCCAACGGCGACCGGUAAAUUUUCUCCCACAUUCGUCCACGGACAGGGGAUCAGUCCGUGGAUACGGAUAUAGGAAUCGGCCAUCCAACGCUGUCCGCAUAUAUUUCGAACACUUCUUUAAAAAAAUCGGAUGAAAUUCAUGCAAACACAGUGGAUUCCAUACAAACCGGACAAAAACGUUUACAUUUUGGACAUAUUUUUAACUAAAAACUCUAUAGCCGGCGCUGGCGACGACGAAUAUCCUCCAGCGACAUGGAUACCCUUGAAUAGUCUACUGCCGGCUGCAGCGGAUCUCCAAUGUCGUCCCAUGUCCGGCAGCUGUGAGCCCUAGGUAUAUGCUUCAACGCAAAGAGCAGCUCGCCUCCCUACCACUCAUCGGAGUGGAACAACCAACUGUUGCUUCUGCCAGUGGGGAAGGGUUCCUACGUUACACAGGCCAGAGUUGGUUUUGGGUUGGGAACGGCGGUGGCCUGCCAGAGGGAAAGACACCGGUUGUGUACGCUGGUGUCACCUCGGUAUGGCAUUCAUGGGACCCAAGCGACAGCUUCUCCUCGACGAUGGUGGCGAGCGCAGACGUGUUGGACACCACCUCGUCGAUGUCCAUGCAGCCCACUUCUUUCUCUGUUGGCAGGACGCGGUGCCACACGUUUUGACAUCGAAUGACGCGCUCACAAUCACGGGAGGGGCGGUACGACAUGGCACCAUCAAUGGCAGCCAUGAUGCCCGUGCCACCGUGCUCCCUCUCAGUGCGACCUGGAGCAACUCGCCACUCCUUGGCUCGUGACCGGCGGGCUUGAUGGGCCCCCUAGCCAUUAUUUACGCCAGACAACUCUUUUUCCUUCUCAUCAGAUGCCAUGGAAAAAACUGUUCAAGGAGGAAAAUGAUGAGUGGAGAUGUGAUGCGGUUCUUGCUCGAAAUCUGACAUUGUUUAAAUAGCGAGGGGACACGAGGAGCCAACCGGCGUUCUGUUUAAUGUCAGCCGGCUCACGAACGGACAUGUGACUGGAGUAAUUAUCCUGGCACACGCGCGGGUUUAAUGGUGAAAGGCAGGCAGUCUGGAGGAAUGACGCAUGAUGUGUGUUUAGCCGGCGUGCAGCGGGGCGGUACCCUUGGCGUGCAUGGGGCGGUACUCGGAGGCAUGAAUGCGGGCAAAGGUGUUGUCAGAAGCGGUCGUAGGUGUUGUCUGGACGCGUGCAAAGCCCCCCUCCCCCAUGUGUUGUCUCCGGUUUGCGGGAGAAAGUACAUCCAGACUGCCCUGUGGACCGAUACAAGCCCGCAUUGGAUGGCACAACACGUCCGGACCAUGUGGUCCGGAUGGUUGUGGACGGUUUAAUUGAGAGUCUGCGUUGGAGAUGCCUUAGAGUUUAUGAAUCCAUUGAGUUUUUCUAAUCAUUAAAAAACACUUAUAAUAAGUUAUAAGAAAAGACACGUAUAUAUGUUAGUUUCAGACUCCAGCUUUGCUCUUACAUAUGCUUUUUUUCUGAUCCGACAGAUUCCAAUAGAGUGAGCCCAGCGUUGUUUUUCUGGAAACUCGAUACACGUUCUUUCAAGCAAAUCACAUCCAUUCUUUUUAACUCAUUUUUUCUCGUUUUAAUAAUAUAAUAAAUCAUUUGUAUUUUUUAUCUCGAACAGUUGACGUGUAAUUCCUAUUGUAAUCUAAGGAUAAUGUUUGGAUUUUACUUUCAAAUAUUUGAAAUGGCCAUGAUGGAAUCACAUCCAUUUAUUUUAUUACUAUUUGAAUUUGAUCCAAAAGAUAAAUAAUGAGUAGACGUCCUGAAAACUUUUCUGAGAACUUUGGUAAUCAAAAGACAAAAAAUGUUUUAAGAACUGAAGCAAACAACGAAUUUUACUCUCUAUUUUACUAAAGCAAGUGGCUGCUAUUUAGGUCUAGUAAAUAGCAAAUUGACCAACAACCUUUUUUCCAAAUUGGAAGGAAUGCAGUUCUCAGCUCUCACCAUGGUGAUUAUACAAUCUGGAUUUUUGAGCUGUAGCUAGUCAACUUAUGUUAGUGGCAUAUGUACCAUAGUGUUGGUCACUGGGAAUGGACGAAGCCAUGAGUGAAGGAACAGGAAAUGACAGAAGUACGAUUUGUAGAAUUUCAAAACUCAAACUAUCUAGUUUUAUGGAGUGAUAUGAAAUAAGCAAAACCAACUGCUAAUAAAAAUGUAAAAUUAAACGAUAUAUUUAGAAAUGUGAUUGUGAAGUCAUUGUCACAAAAUAUGACCUCACUAAAAAUGAACAUUCAACCUUAUUUUCAGAAGUUUGCAUACAAAUUCCAUGUAAAUUAUGGUAGUGCCCAUAAACAAAUAAACCAUAAUCGUGCUUGAUCUACCAUGAAACUUACUACCUUGUAUAUACUUUUGUCAUGUCCAGAGAUUUCCUGCACCAUGAACAAAAAUGCCACCGCAAUAAUAGUCGUUCUUUUGUGCACCGGGCGUCGAGGUAGCGUUGGCUGGCCAUCUGCAGCUCAUAGGCGCACGAGCACAGCGGUGGCAUGCCCACCACCGCCUCCAUUGCCCGCAAGGACGCCACCUAGCCACCGCCGUAUUUGGAGAAGAAGCAACAAGCAUGUAAGAGUUUGUCCUUGGACGCUCUAUGGAUCGACCUGAUCGAUCACUCGUUUUGUGCAUGCACCACCACACAUGGCUGAACCGAGCAUCCUCCUGGCGGCGCCCAGUGAGACCGUCCUCGCAGUGGCCACGGCUCGAUGGUUCGCCCCCGUGCGCACGGUACGUGCCGCAGCCUGUAGUCAAAUCAGAGCGCGUAGAGCACUAUCGGUGAGAUCGAAGGAGAGGAAUAUCAAAAUGGAAACUUAGCUAUAGGAGGUGAUGGCAAGGGGAGCUGGUGUGCCGGGAGGGAGACUCCAGGAGCUAGGGAGCACGCCGACGCCAUUGCUCAAGGUGCAAGUUUGUUUCAAUCUUCAAUCCUGCUCGCUGUUGAUUCUGGUUACAGUAAAUUUUAGCUAGAUAUGGUGUAACCUAAGUGUUAUGCCUAGUCUUAAUCUAUCUAUCUAUCCAAUCUUCUAUUCGGCGAGGUGGCUGCGCCUGUGGCAGAUGUGGCCGCUGCCAUGGCCGGCGCCAGACCUGGUCGAUCUCCCUCUUCUGUAUUUGAGAAAAAAAAAUCUGCCUCUUCUCUUCUGAUGAGAAGGGGAAGAGAUGGUGAGAGAUGAAGUCGACGGCUUUGGGGAAAGGAUACGGGAGGACGCCGGUAGUGAGGCGGCAUGAGGAAGACAAGGUGGUUGACAGCGGCGACGCGUGAGGGGAGGGCAAGGGAGGUGUAGUGGUGCAUGGAGAGGAGUGGGUGUGCAGCGUGCCCAGUUCACGAGGGAGGAAAGAGGUCGUCAAGGGAGUGAUCCAUGGGAGUUUUUUUCCUUCAGAGCGAGCCUAGUUGGGCUCUCUGCGGCGUCUAGGCCCAAUGCACCACAUGUCUUCAAAUUGGCCACCAGUAGCAGCCCAUAGAACAGACAGGGCCAGUUUGCAAAUUUUAAAAAAUAAGUUUUUUAGUGCCCAUGAAAAACAGAACACAUAUCUUUCCAAACAUAAUGAACUAUAGGUACCACCAAAAAAACCAUAAUGAACUUUAGGUUGUUACAAGAACUCAUGCCAUCCAACAGCCUCCCUCCAACCCUGCCAACAUUGUUGCAGCUGCACUCGCAAGCGUUACCAUAGGUGAUCAUUUGCAUGAUUUCGCGUAAAACAAAAUAAGAUCUACAAACGAAUAGAAGCUACACAUACCUUGGCAUGCACACACAUUGCAAGCCAUACUAAGGUGAUAAGUGUUAAUAACUUGUACAACAUAUACAACACUUAAGAUAAGUAAAAGCAAUUUGAUGAGUCAUGGUCUAUCAAAGCAAGAUGCAUUACUACUCUAAUCUAUCUUAACAGGUGACACAUGAUUACAAUCCUUGUUGUGUGCAAGUCAAGCUUAUCUAGUUUACACGUAACAACUUGUAGAACAUAACACAAUUGAUGUUUGCUAAUAACUUCUAGAAAGCUACAACACUUGACAUGUAAAAAGAAUUUGAUGAGUUAUGACCUACUAAAGCAAGUUACAUUACUAGUCUCAUCUAUCUUAACAGGUCACACAAGAUUAAAAACUAAGUUCUGCGCAAGCAAUGCUUAUCUAGUUUACACAUAACAACUUGCAAAACAUUACAAACUUAGUUUCAAAAAAUUAGGCAAUCUAGAUUAGUGUUUGAGUUGUAAAGUGAAUAAGAUGAGUCAUGUGUGUUAUCACAACUUUUUGGUAGUGGAAUGAUAGUGCCACAUAACACAACAUACCAAAUUAUGAUUUUAGGAAGCAUCCAAGCACUUUCCAGACAAAAAAAUGCCAAUUGUGAAGGAGAUGAUGCCAUGGCAGCUAUAAAUAGGCCUGUAGCAUGAUGAUCAUCCUUUCCCAUCCAUCAUUCUCAUAAGUAGAGUGCAUCGUUCAAGCCAAGCAAGCAGUGGUCAAUACAAAUCCACCAUGAAGACCUUUCUCAUCCUUGCCCUCCUUGCUAUCAUGGCAAUUGAGGGAGUCCUAGAUAAGGGGUAUCCGGACAGCCGGACUAUAUUCAUCGUCCGGACUAUAGAAGCGUCAAGACACAAGACUCAAGACUUCGGCUCUUGUCCGGAUGGGACUCUCAUUUGCGUGGAAGACAAGCUUGGAGAUCCGGAUAUUAUGUUUCCUUCCUUGUAACCGAGUCCAUGUAAACCCUAGCUCUCCGGUGUCUAUAUAAACCGGAGAGCAUGGUCCUUACAAGGCCGACCACAAUUACAAUCAUACCAUCAUAGGCUAGCUCUUAGGGUUUAGCCUCUACGAUCUCGUGGUAGAUCUACUCUUGUAUUCCACAUAUCUUCAAUAUCAAUCAAGCAGGAAGUAGGGUUUUACCUCCAUCGAGAGGGCCCAAACCUGGGUAAACAUUGUGUCCCCUGCUUCCUGUUACCAUCAGCCUAAGACGCACAGAUUGGGACCCCCUACCCGAGAUCCGCCGGUUUUGACACCGACAUUGGUGCUUCCAUUGAGAGUUCCUCUGUCUCGUCGCUUCGAGGCUUGAUGGCGUCUUCAAUCGUCAACAACACGGUCCAGGGUGAGACUUUUCUCCCCGGACAGAUCUUUGUGUUCGGCGGCUUCGCACUGCGGGCCAAUUCACUUGGCCAGUUGGAGCUGAUCGACAGCCUCGCCCCUGGCCACCAGAUCAGGUUUGGAAACUUGAACUACACGACAGAUAUCCGCGGAUACUUGAUCUUCGACGGAUUCGGGCCUGCGCCAGGAGUGCCGGGUAGCCACGACGAGCACGACCUAGACCUGCUGUCGGAUAGUGCCCGGGAUAUUAUCCCCGAAGCAGCCUUGGAUCUAAAUCCAGGACAGGUUGCGGUGCCUAUGGACGGAGGGCUGGACCCCGCUCCGCAGGCCGCACGCUUAUCGGCGGUGGAGCCGAACACUGGUCCCCCCUAUAACCCCGGACUCCCGGACUCAUAUCCAGCUGUUGGUCCUGGUCCGCUCACUCUCGAGCCAGCCGAGCCAGGUCAGGUUCCGGUAAUGGAGUUUACCGCUGCGGACAUCUUUCAGCACUCGCCCAUUGGCGACAUGCUAAGCUCAUUGAAGUCUCUCUCUUGGUCAGGAGACUCUGGGCCGAACUAUGUCCGAUGCGAGUGGGAAGCAGGCGAUGAAGGAAUUCGGCGCCCACCCACCACCCACUUCAUUGUCACAAUCAAAGAAUUAGGCGACGUGCUCGACUCCGGAGACAUCGAUGGUAUGGAUGACGAUGCAGGAGAGGCUCCAGAACCCCUGGAGCGCGGGACUACUACCUUGUCACACGACAUAUACAUGGUAGAUACGCCCAAUAAGGACGGCAACCCGGAUGAUAAAACACCCGGGCAAAAGCCAAAGAGGCGGCGCAGACGCCGCUCAAAGUCCAGCAAUGGCAAAAAUAGUGACAGGAGCGCAAGAAGGGUUGAUAUACCCGCAAACUCUGAAAGCAAUAAUGACCACAUGGACCCAACGAUGGAGCAGGACGAGCCAUGUCACGCCAAAUCAAGUUCGGAGAAAAUACCCGAUCACAACGAUCCGGAGGGACGAGCUCAUGAUGCCGCCCGAGAACAGGAAGACAAUCUGGACAACGAUGCAUUCAUCAUCCCGGACGAACAAGUGGAACGAGACAACCUCCACAGAAAGCUUAUGGUCACCACAAGAAGUCUAGAAAAGCAGAAGCAACGGCUCAAGGCUGCACAGGAAAAGCUAAGUCGCAGAUGGAACAGGGUGCUAGACACCGAAGAAAGAUAUGGCGAUGACCGCCAUACGAAAAGCUAUCCGAAGCGCAAGCUGCUGCCAGAAUUCGAUGACGCGGCCGUUCCGCCAAAAGAAAAUUCGACCAAGAAACCAGACGUACCGCCUCACAACCAUAACAGAGCGGCCGCAGACACUGCGCACGAUCCACGCGGGCAUCCGGAUAAAAAGACCGGUGCAGCCAGGUCCAUAUAUGGAUCUAGAAGACACACCCCAGCGCAGAACUAUGGUCACCCAAACGUUCAUAAAAGCUAGAUACCAGUUCGGAAUCAACCCCGGACACAACAACAGCUGACUACAUGCCACAAUGCGUCCAGAUACAGAGGGGCUGCUCACCACCUGUGCUUCACCGAAGAAGUACUGGACCAUGAAUUCCCACAAGGCUUUAAACCUGUGAACAUAGAAGCAUACGCCGGCACGACAGACCCAGGGGUCUGGAUCGAGGAUUUUAUCCUGCAUAUUCACAUGUCUCAAGGGGAUGACCUCCACGCCAUCAAAUACCAUCCCCUCAACUUGAAGGGACCAGCUAGACACUGGUUGAAAAGCCUCCCCGAAAACUCAAUUGGGAGUUGGGAGGUGAAAGGAUCGAUAUAGUUGACUAGAGGGGGGGGGGUGAAUAGGAAACUAACAAUUUUUAAGCUUUUCUUUACCAAUUUAAACUUUGCAUCAAAAUAGGCUGUCUAGAUAUGCAACUAUGUGAGCAACCUAUAUGAUGCAAUAACAACUAGCACAUAAGAAAGCAAUGGACACAACACAAUUAAGCUUGCAAAAGUAAAGGCACGAAAUAACCAAGAGUGGAGCCGGUGGAGACGAGGAUGUGUUACCGUAGUUCCUUCCUUUUAAGGGGAAGUACGUCUCCGUUAGAGCAGUGUGGAGGCACAAUGCUCCCCAAGAAGCCACUAGGGCCACCGUAAUCUCCUCACGCCCUCACACAAUGCGAGAUGCCGUGAUUCCACUAUUGGUGCCCUUGAAGGCGGCGACCGAACCUUUACAAACAAGGUUUGGGCAAUCUCCACAACUUAAUUGGAGGCUCCCAAUGACAGCACGAAGCUUCACCACAAUGGACUAUGGCUCCGAGGUGACCUCAACCGUCUAGGGUGCUGAAACACCCAAGGGUAACAAGAUCCGCUGGGGAUUAGUGGGGGGAAUCAAAUAUCUCUUGGUGGAAGUGUAGAUCGUGGCCUUGUCACCCAAUCCCAAGCAAAUCAACAAGUUUGAUUGGCUAGGGAGAGAGAUCGGCCGAAAAUGGAGCUUGCAGCAACAAUGGAGCUUAGGGAUGGAAGAGGUGGUCAACUAGAGGUAGGAGACACACCUUUUAUAGUGGAGGACAACAUCCAACCGUUAUCCACUUAGACCAGCCUGCGACAUGCGGUACUACUGCUCCAGGAGCGCGGUACUACCGCAAGGCCACACGGUACUACCGUGGGAGACCACGGUACUACCGCGACAGCUGCAGAGACUAUAACACAAGCAGUACUACCGCGAGCGCGGUACUACCGCUCCCACCUGCGGUACUACCGCGAGGCAGGUAAGUCCUAGUAUGGAAACGGCACGGAUGAAUAAAAAUAGACGAUGCAAACAUCCGUCACGGUACUACCGUGCACAAGGCGCAGUACUACCUUGUGUGUGCAGAUGUAAAAAAUUACAUCCGCCCCUACUACCAUGAAGCAACGACACUAGGCCAGGGAACCACGGUACUACAGUUCGAGGGGAACGGUACUACCGUGGGAACCCACGGUACUACCGCCCUCAACGUGUGGUACUACCGUGUGGGCGCGGAUGUAAAAAAUUACAUCCGCGCCUACUACCGCGAGGCAGUGAUAAUUGGCCAGGGAGCCACGGUACUAUGACUCCGAAGGAGCAGUACUACCGUGGGCUCCCGCGAUACUACCGCACAUGGGCACAGUACUACCGCAAGUGCUUGCGGUACUACCGCUCCAGGGAGCAGUACUACCGCAAACUCAGCAACAGUAGUCCAGACACUCACAUAGAGGAUAGAUGGGGAAUGCUCCAAAGUGCAAGGGAAAGGAGGAGACAAGGAAGGAAACGUGUACGUGAUGAUUCCACCCGAACCUUUUGGACGCGGACCCCCUCUUAAUAGUACGGCUCUCCUACGACUCAAAUCCACCAAAAAGAAAUGUAGAAAUACGCCGUCUUCAAUAGUCUUCGAGGGGCACCGAACCGUCUUAUGCCUAGCGAUGAAGCAACUGAGAAACUCAAGGCACACGAUUAGUCCGCUAAAGCAUUGUCAUCAAUCACCAAAACACUUAGGGAUAAAAAUGCCCUUACAAUAUCCCCCUUUUUGGUGGAUUGAUGACAAUACGGGAUUUUCACAAGGGAAAAAAUAAUGAGCAUAGGCAAAACCCUCCUCUCUAAAAUGUAGACGGGCUCCCCCUAGACGUGUGCAAUCUAGAUGGAUGCUUUGGACUACACAGCACACUAGCUAGGAUUAACACUCCCAUUAUAUUUUAGAGACAAAGCAUGUAAGACUAACAAUCUAAGUAAAUGCAUAAACAAAGGUAGCACAAUAUAACACUAGCUCACUAAGAUAGGUAGAGUGCAUAUGUCUUACACCAUAUGAGGGACACACUAAACCAAAUCAACCGAAAUAACCGAAACGAGGUUCAAAUGAGACACGCAAACACACGAAACACGACACACGACUCACAAAUCCCUACACUCUCUCCCCCUUUGGCAUCGAGACGCCAAAAAGGCAGAGAGGACACCUACACACAAGUGGUGGCUCAAGCAGAGAAAUCAUUCCAACGAUCCUCGUCAGACCCGGCAGCAGGAAUGGUCUCCUCGACGUCCUCCUUAGAAUCAGUCCACUUGUAGCCUUGUUUCUCCAUCCACUCAACCUGUGGAGUAAUGUGAUCCUCAGACCCACCAGACACGUCCUCUCCAUACAGCUUCAGAAUCUUCUUGUCGCGGCGAAGACUCUCCUUGGAUGCCACGUGAGUCCUGUACUACCCCUUAGCUUGUAUGCAGAAAAGAGUCUUCAUCUUGUCCUUCAGCUUCUUGGCCCACAAGGGCAUAGAGGAACUAUGGGAAGACCCAGCAGCACGGUCAGCAGCAACAUCCUCUCCUUCAGCCUCAUCCUCAUCAACAACCCUCUUAGCAGCAGUCGCCUCGGCACGAGUAGUAGUGUUGGCCCAUUUGGACUUGACACGGAGACUGAUGGGAUCAUGCCGAAUCCAGUCAGGAGCAAGGAACUCAUCACCAGGGUACUGCUUCGCCCAAGUCUUGGAGAUCAAUAGAAACAUGUAUGGUCCAUAGAUAGGCACCUUGCGGUUGAACACCGCAAACCGAAGCUCACACCACAUGAUGUGUGAGACAUCAAGUGGCUGAGUCUGAGAUACGCGAGCCUCCUCGCACAGGAGCAUCAUAUCCACCAUAUAGGCAUGAACCUUGUCCUUGUCACCAAUGCGAGGGAACAGAGAGUUGCGGAAGAUGCGAUACAUGAUAUCCAGAAAAGAGUUGAGCAUCCACGUCGACUUGCUAUUGGCAAGCACCUUCUCAACAUAGAACGGCUGAAGCUUGUCCUUGUUCGCAGACUCAGAAUUGGCAUGGGGGCGAACACCCACUGGUGAGUUGAGCCCGUCAUCAGGAACCUGGAGCAGAUCCAUGAACUCCUUCCAGGUAGCAGUCAACUAACGACCAUUGGUCAUCCAGGUCAUCCUCCGCUCCUCCCCAGGGUGAAAGAACACUGAGGCAAAGAACUGACAAAUAAGCUCAGGGUCAUAGUCAAGAUGGAAAUAGAUCACAUGCUCAAUAUCAAACUGCUCCACCAAAUCCAGAGCUUCUCCAAAGUACUCAUGAUACAUAUCCUUCCUCAGGUGAUGCAUGUCUAUCCACUUGACAUCCACAUAGGUAUUUUGCUUGUUCUUGAUGACAUCCAGAUAGGUGAGAGUCUUCUGCUUGUUCCAAAACAACUCACAGCCUCUAACGGUAGCACGAGGAAUCACAUACGGGUUGAGCUGCCUGAGACGGAUGUACUCAGAUUGGGGUAUCUCGUCCAUGCCCUUAGCGGGUUCCUUGUGCUUGCUAGCGGUGGCCUUGACAUGGCGCUUGGGGGCAGAGGAGGAGCCCUCUGGUGCAUCACUUGGAUUGCGCAGACGCUUGGAGCCAGUGUCACGACUGGGAUUGGAACGACGAGAGCCACCACCUGAGACACAAAAUGCAAAACACCCACGACAGGCAAAAAGGAUCAAUGCAAAGACCACGGCAAAGCACAAGAACCACAUAGGAAGUAUACGUGAAAGUUUCCAUGAGAUAGAUGGGAUCCACGGUAGUACUGCCGGAUGCGGUGGUACUAAAAUUUUAGUACCGCUCCAAGUCGCAGUAGUACCGGGGUGGGAGCGGUAGUAAAAUUUUAGUGUCGUAGCGUGCACGGUAGUACCGCGCCUGACGGGCGGUAGUACCAGACAAGCGGUAGUACCGCAUAGGUGGCGCGGUAGUACUGCACCGCGUCAGAUCCAAACCAAAGUUUGAAUCUGAGAAGAACCGCGAAACCACGGCGGUACUACGAUUGAUCAAAUCUAGCACAGGACAAAAAGACAAGUAUAAUCCCUACGCGAUACUACUCUCCUACAACCUACGCUUGCAUAGAUUUAGCCUAAAAUCUCAAGAACACACAAGUCUUCCCCACAAACCUAGAGGCAAAGAAAACAACAAAAGCGAGAGGGAGUUGGGAAAAGACCCUUUCCCAUGGCAAGAGCAUGUGGUGGGGAAUGAUCCCACCGGACGGAAUCGCAGGAGAGCAGCCGGAGGCGGAGAUCCGGCGAAGGACCCUGGCCCCGUUCUUGAGCGAGGGAGAGAGAGACGAAGUGGGAAACUGAUGAAUGGGUAUGGGGGAGUUGGAACUCCCCCUCCCCAUCCUUAUCCCCACGCGUCAAAGAUGUCGCGGUAGUACCGCACAUCAUCACGGUAGUACCGCUUGGGUGGAACUACCGCACCGAAGCGGUAGUACCGCUCUCCCAGGCGGUAGUAAAAAAUUACUGCCGCGUGGGGGCGGUAGUACCGAGCUCUCCAUACGCGUAGUACCGUAGCAUGCUGCGGUAGUACCAUGAGCUCAAGAAAAAGCAGGUUUCAACACAAAAGAGGUCUUUGCAAGGAAACUUUUAGCACAAGAGACACCACAAGAACACGCACAACCCAAAGGCAGAAAGACAACAAGAAGCAACCACGCAACACACCCUCUCAAAAAGAGAGGGCGGUGGCCGGAGCCACCUAUGUUUGAGUCAGUUUGUAUGGCACCGCGAAGAAUUAUCCUUGGGCCCAUAAUCGAAACUCAUCUUUGAAGCACAAGUACCAUAAAAAAUGGUUAAUGUGACAGACUUGAUCGAUUUAUGCAUAAUGGGGGAGGGAGGGUUCAUUGAGAGAACGGUAGUCCCCCUAUGUCCAUGCCCGCACCUAAACUAGACAACAAGUUGAGUGAGAUGGGGUGUGCACGGGCUCAAGUCACAUUGAUCAAACCAAUGAUAUUUAGCUCAUGCCUUAACUCGCGAAAUCGUGCUUCAUCGAAGGGCUUCGUGAAAAUAUCUGCAAGGUUAUCAUGAGUGUUGACAUACUUGAGCUUGAUCUCCCCUCGCCUAAUGUGAUCCCGAAUGAAGUGAUACCGAAUCUCAAUAUGCUUCGUCUUGAAAUGUUGCACCGGGUUGAGAGAAAUCUUGAUGGCACUUUCAUUGUCACACCAAAGAGGCACUUUGUCACAAAUGACACCAUAUUCCUUUAAAGUUUGUCUCAUCCAUAGGAGUUGUGCACAACAACUACCGGCCGCCACAUAUUCCGCUUCGGUGGACGAGAGAGACACACAACUUUGCUUCUUGGAAGACCAACUCACCAAAGAGCAACCAAGAAAUUGGCACCCUCCGGAAGUGGACUUCCUAUCCACCUUGUCUCCCUCCCAAUCGGAAUCCAUAAAUCCUUCAAGCUUGAAGUUAGCUCCUCUUGGGUACCAUAGGCCAAAGUUUGGGGUAUGAGCCAAAUAUCGAAAGAUUCGCUUGACCGCCACAAAGUGGCUUUCCUUUGGUACGGCUUGAAACCAUGCACGCAUUCCCACACUCAACAUGAUAUCUGGUCUAGAUGCACAAAGGUAAAGCAAGGAUCCAAUCAUAGAGUGAUAUACCUUUUGAUCCACCGCUUUACCAUUGGGAUCAAUGUCAAGUUGGCACUUGGUGGGCAUUAGAGUAGAGGCCGGAUUGACAUCACUUAGCUUGAAUCUCUUAAGCAUGUCUUGAGUGUAUUUGGCUUGGUUGAUGAAGGUACCUUCUCUUCUUUGUUUGAUCUCAAAACCAAGGAAGAACUUUAACUCUCCCAUCGAAGACAUCUUGAACUUAGAGGUCAUGAGAGCGGCAAAUUCUUCAUUGAAAGCAUUGUUAGGGGAACCAAAGAUAGUGUCAUCAACAUAUAGUUGGCACACAAACAACUCCCCUUUGACCUUCUUAGUAAAAAGAGUGGGACCGAUUUGCCCAACUUCAAAUCCACGAUCUUGUAACAACUCGGUAAUGUGGUCAUACCACGCACGUGGGGCUUGUUUAAGGCCAUAGAGUGCCUUAUCAAGUUGAUACACAUGAUCCGGGAAGUAAGGAUCCUCGAACCUGGGGGGUUGCUUGAUAUAAACCAACUCAUUAAUAGGACCAUUAAGAAAAGCACUUUUCACAUCCAUUUGUUGUAACUUAAAGUUGUGAUGGGAAGCAUAAGCAAUCAACAAACGAAUGGAUUCAAGGCGAGCAACAGGAGCAAAGGUUUCACCGUAGUCGAUACCGUCGACUUGGGAGUAGCCUUGUGCUACCAAUCUUGCCUUGUUGCGAAUGAUGUUCCCAUGAGCGUCUUGCUUGUUCUUGAAAAUCCACUUGGUUCCAAUGACAUUAUGGUUCCCUGACGGCCGUGGCACCAAUCUCCACACCUUGUUGUACUCGAAGUUGUUAAGUUCUUCAUGCAUGGCAUUGAGCCAAUCUGAAUCUUCGAGCGUCUCAUAGACCUUUUGGGGUUCAACACAAGAGACAAACGCGUGAUGUUCACAAUAGUUUGCUAAUUGUCUACGAGUGCUUACCCCCUUUCUUAGGCUUCCAACCACAUUCUCCAUAAGAUGGCCUUUGGUGGUGAGCUUGGAAGCAAUCUUUGCGGCACGACGCUCUAAUUCCUCCUUGGAUGUGGAGGAAGGAGGAUCAACACAAGAGACAAACGCGUGAUGUUCACAAUAGUUUGCUAAUUGUCUACGAGUGCUUACCCCCUUUCUUAGGCUUCCAACCACAUUCUCCAUAAGAUGGCCUUUGGUGGUGAGCUUGGAAGCAAUCUUUGCGGCACAAUGCUCUAAUUCCUCCUUGGAUGUGGACGAAGGAGGAUCAACUUGAUUAUCUUGAGCGCCGUCUUGAGCUUGUUCGAGAUCUUGAUCUUGCUCUUGAUCUUGAACUUGCUAAGGGGGAAAACUUGACCUUAGGCAUCAUUUGGUGGAUCACCACCAUCUUGAGUUUGAUCUUUCCCUUGGUCUUGUUUAUGAGGUUGCGGGCCUUCACUUUGUUGUUCGGAAGCGUGUGGGUCUUGGGGAGGUGAUGGCUCCACUUGAGUGGAGCAUUGUCCUUCUCCUUCGGCCACAAGGGAUUCCUCAAUGGGUAGAAUAUGACCAAUACCCACUCUUCUUAUGGCUUGGGGAGGAAUUUCAUCACCUACAUCACAAGUACCACUAAGCUCCACUUGGGAGCCGUUAUUUUCGUCAAACUCCACGUUACACGUCUCCUCAAUGAGUCCGGUGGACUUGUUGAGAACACUGUAAGCAUGAGAGUUUGUAGCAUAACCAAAAAAUAUGCCCUCAUAAGCUCUAGCCUCAAAUUUAUACAAACGGACACCCUUUUUGAGAAUAAAACACUUACACCCGAACACCCAGAAGUACUUGAGAUUGGGCUUGUUACCGGUGAGGAUUUCAUAAGGAGUCUUGUUCAAGCCUUUGCGGAGAUAGAGCCGAUUUGAUGCAUGACAUGCGGUGUUGAUGGCUUCGGCCCAAAAGUUGUAUGGAGACUUGAACUCCGCCAUCAUGGUCCUUGCCGCAUCCAUCAACUUCCGGUUCUUCCUCUCUGCAACACCAUUUUGUUGAGGGGUGUAUGGAGAUGAAUAUUGAUGCUUGAUCCCCUCAUCACUAAGGAACUCAUCCAAGGUGUAGUUCUUGAACUCGGUGCCGUUGUCACUUCUUAUUGUCAAGAUCUUUGCAUCAUGUUGUCAUUGAGCUUCAUUUGCAAAGUCGAUGACGGUUUGUUGGGUUUCACUCUUCCUCUUGAAGAAAUAUACCCAAGUAUAUCUUGAAUAAUCAUCCACAAUCACCAAGCAAUACUUUAUUCCCCCAAGACUAUCAAAGGAUGGAGGCCCAAAGAGGUCCAUGUGAAGGAGCUCCAAGGGUCUCUUCGAGUAGAUGAUAGUCGUGGGAGGGUGAGCCGUCUCAUGAAGCUUUCCUUUGAUACAAGCACUGCAAGCACGAUCUUUGGCAAAACUAACAUUUGUUAGUGCACGGACAUGGUCCCCCUUUAGAAGACUUUGCAAAGAUCUCAUAUUGACGUGGGCUAAACGGCAAUGCCAAAGCCAUCCCACAUCAACUUUAGCCAUUAGGCAUGUCGCGGUCUUAGUGGGUCGCUCCGAAAAGUUAAUCACAUAGAGACCGUUCUCGACAUGCCCAACAAAGGCUACUUUAAGAGUCUUGCUCCACAAGAGGGCCACGGUAUCAACAUCAAAGAAGGUGGCAAAGCCCAUGAGUGCGAGUUGACGAACGGAAAGUACAUUGUAUGCAAGGGACUCAACAAGCAUGACUUUCUCGAUCGUUAGAUCAUGAGAAAUGACAACCUUGCCAAGACCCAAUACCUUAGAAUGUGAGGCAUCACCCCACUCGACAUUUGUGGGCAUAGAUGGGAUCUUUUGCACGUCCACAACCAAGUCCUGCUCCCGGUCAUAUGAUUUAUUGCUCCACUAUCGAGCAACCAUGAUCCCCCACCAGAAGCAAACACCUACAAGAGAUCAAUGCUUGGUUUAAUGUACCCAUUGAGUAAUGGGUCCUUUGAUGUUAGUAACAAGGGUCUUAGGAACCCAAAUAGACCAUUCAAUGUACUCAUAAGAAGAACCAACAAAUUUAGCAUAAACAUGCCCAUCACUAGCACGGCACAACACAUAAGAAGAGUUAAAUUCACCGGCUUUGUUGGGAGAGGUGACUUUGCCCUUUUUGGCAUCACCACUCUUCGCAGUGUUCUUCUUCUCCUUAGGAGCACCUUCUCCCUCCUUCACAAAAGUUUGCUUAAGCGGGGGAGGUCGUUUGGUCUUGUCAUUCUUCUUCUCGUUCUUCUUCUUGUUCUUGGACUUGGGUGAGAACCCACCUCCCUCCUUUGCCACAACUUCCUUUUGAUUGCUAAAAAGGUCAUUUAGGUUCUUCUCACCUUGUAUGCAUGACACAAGGCCUCUCUCGAGUUGUUCCUUCAACUUGGCAUUCUCCUCCACAAGAUGCACAUGCUCACAACACGGGUUAGUAGCAUUUGCGUUAUCAAUUAAGAUUAAGUGAGGAAAGGUGGCCUUCUCCUUGGUUAGCUUAACUUGGAGUUGAGCAUGAGACUUCUUGAGGUUAGUAUGAGCACCCUUCAAGACCUUGUGGGCCUUGUCAAGCACAUCAAACUCCUCCUUGAGUCUAGCAUGAUCAACCCCAAGUUUAGACUUCUCGGAAGUCAGCACACGAGACACAACAAGAGCAUGAUCGAGAUCUUUCUUUAACUUGGCAUGGUCAUCGUUUUGUGACUCCUCAAGAGCCAAACGAUGCCCACACUCUUCCUCAAGAGCAUUAGAGAGAUCCGAUAUCUCAUCGGCAUAGUCAUGACUAUGACCUUCCAUCUUAGAGAUGGUUUCUUCGUGAGCCUCGAUCAUGUCAUUGGCUUCACCAAGUUGUUCCAAGAGAGCAACAAAGUGCUUCUUGGAUUUGCCCUUGAGCUUACUCAUAAAGGACUCAAAAUCAUUUACCUCCUCAUUAGACCCCUUACCAUCAUCAAUCCCAACCGUCAAAGAAGGAUUAAGAAUAAUGGUGGUUUUGAUGUUGGGGGUUACCUUGUUGGUGGCUUUAGUCAUGAGGCACUUGGCGGUGAUGUUCUCGUUGGGUGAAUCGAAGAGAGACACCCGGGGAGUUGUGGCAAUUGCAACGGAUGCCAUGGCCAUUGAUUCACUAUCUUCAUCAUCAUCGUCAUCCUCACGGUACUCCUCUUGAACCACCAACCCUUGAGUAGGAGUCUUCUUGGUGAAGUUGUUCUUGUUGGGGAAUGACUUGGCUUUGUCUCUCCGGAUGAGCUUGCCACCAUUGUCUUCCCGCUUCUCGUAAGGACAAUCCGCAACGAAAUGGCUCACAUUGCCACAGUUGAAACAAGUUCUAACUCGUUGUUUGCUCUUGAAGCCACUUGAGUUGUUCUUGUUGAAAUUGGGUCUUGAGUUCUUCUUGCUCCAAAAUUGCCUUGAAGCGAGAGCCAUGUGCUCGUGAUAAUCAUAUUUUGUAUCUUCGGGAUUGCUCUCCUCAUCUUCCUCUUCUUCCUCUUCUUCCACAAUAACCUUGGCCUUCAAGGCAAGGUUGGGCUUCUUUGCUCUUUGAGAUCGGAGCACCGCAUUAUCGGCGGUCCUGUCCAAGAUGCUCAUUGCAACGAACUCAUCCAACACUUAACUUGAGGUCAUGGAGUGGAAGUCCGGCCUUUGACGAAUGACGGAGGACAUGGACUUGUUGUAGGGCAUCAUGGCCUUGAGAAACUUGCGUUUGAUCCAAUUGUCAUACGUGUCCUUGCUCCCAUGAUCUCGGAGCGAGACCACAAGUUUGGUUACUCUCCGAAAGAGCUCACGAGGUUCUUCAUCUUCCUUCAUAGCAAACUCAUUGGCUUCAUCUUGCACUACUUCAUAGUUGGAGCGUUGAAUGCUCAUGCUUCCCCAAUAAAGAGACACAACGCACCGCCACGCGUCUUUGGCCGUGGCGUCGGGUCGAAGAUGAGGGAGAUCUUUGGGGAGAAUUGCUUCUUGGAUGAUGAAGAGAGCAUUCUCAUUGAAUUGAUUAUCCACGGCUUCUCGAGGGGUGAAGUUGCUUGGGUCAUGUGGAUAGAAACCUUCUUCAAUGAUUCUCCAAAGAUUAGUAUUCACAUGCUUUAAAUGACGCUUGAAGCGAUACACCCAAGAAUCAAAAUCCUCAUUUUUCACAAUCUUAGGAGGAGGACCGACAUGAUUUAAAUGAGUAGACGGAAUCGGUCCACCAUAAGUUGGAGGUUCCACAUGGGCAAAGAUGCCGGAGCCAUUUUUACCGCUAGUAGAAGGACCCUUUUCACUGUUAGCUCCCCCCUUGUCGGAGGUAGCAUCCGUCACCUUGUUAGCGGGAUCACCCACUUUCAUUAGUGAGGUGGACAAUUUAAGUCCUUCUAGAAAUUUAGUAAACAUGCUUUCAACCUUGGUCGUCAUGGAGUCUUUCAAUGUGUCUAGAGCCACAUUGAAUUCCUCAUGAGAGACCGAGGUUCCCCCAUCGGCCAUAGACGAGGUAGGAUUCACACCGGAGUGCUCUUCCACAACGUCUGUGGCGUCAACCAUACUCUUCGGACGGCAAAGUCCUUAAUAAAGAGACGAAGCUCUGAUACCAAUUGAAAGGAUCAAUAUAGUUGACUAGAGGGAGGGGUGAAUAGGCAACUAACAAUUUUAAGCUUUUCUUUGCCAAUUUAAACUUUGCAUCAAAAUAGGUUGUCUAGAUAUGCAACUAUGUGGGCAACCUAUAUGAUGCAAUAACAACUAGAACAUAAGCAUGCAAUGGAUACAACACAAGUAAGCUUGCAAAAGUAAAGGCACGAAAUAACCAAGAGUGGAGCCAGUGGAGACGAGGAUGUGUUACCGAAGUUCUUUCCUUUUAAGGGGAAGUACGUCUCCGUUAGAGCGGUGUGGAGGCACAAUGCUCCCCAAGAAGCCACUAGGGCCACCGUAAUCUCCUCACGCCCUCACACAAUGCGAAAUGCCGUGAUUCCACUAUUGGUGCCCUUGAAGGCGGCGACCGAACCUUUAUAAACAAGGUUGGGGCAAUCUCCACAACUUAAUUGGAGGCUCCCAACGACAACACGAAGCUUCACCACAAUGGACUAUGGCUCCAAGGUGACCUCAACCGUCUAGGGUGCUCAAACACCCAAGAGUAACAAGAUCCGUUAGGGAUUAGUGGGGGGAAUCGAAUAUCUCUUGGUGGAAGUGUAGAUCGGGGCCUUGUCACCCAAUCCCGAGCAAAUCAACAAGUUUGAUUGGCUAGGGAGAGAGAUCGGCCGAAAAUGGAGCUUGGAGCAACAAUGGAGCUUAGGGAUGGAAGAGGUGGUCAACUAGAGGUAGGAGACACACAUUUUAUAGUGGAGGACAACAUCCAACCGUUAUCCACUUAGACCAGCCUGCGACAUGCAAUACUACUGCUCCAAGAGCGCGGUACUACCGCAAGGCCCCGCGGUACUACCGUGGGAGACCACGGUACUACCGCGACAGCUUCAGAGACUAUAACACAAGCAGUAUUACCGCGAGCAUGGUACUACCGCUCCCACCUGCGGUACUACCGCGAGGCAGGUAAGUCCUAGUCUGGAAAUGGCACGGAUGAAUAAAAAUACAUCCGUGCCUACUUCCGUGGUCAAAGAGACGAUGCAAACAUCCGUCACGGUACUACCGUGCACAAGGCACGGUACCACCGUGUGUGUGCGGAUGUAAAAAAUUACAUCCGCACCUACUACCGCGAGGCAGCAGUACUUGGCCAGGGAGCCACAGUACUAUGACUCCGAAGGAGCUGUACUACCCUGGGCUCCCACGGUACUACCGCGCAUGGGCACGGUACUACCGCAAGUGCCUGCGGUACUACCGCUCCAGGGAGCAGUACUACCGCAAGCUCAGCAACAGUAGUCCAGACACUCACAUAGAGGAUAUACGGGGAAUGCUAGAAAGUGCAAGGGAAAGGAGGAGACAAGGAAGGAAACGUGUACGUGAUGAUUCCACCCGAACCUUUCCGACGCGGACCCCCUCUUAAUAGUACGGCUCUCCUACGACUCAAAUCCACCAAAAAGAAACGUAGAAAAAUGUCGUCUUCAAUAGUCUUUGAGGGGCACCGAACCGUCUUGUGCCCAGCGAUGAAGCAACUGAGAAACUCAAGGCACACGAUUAGUCCGCUAAAGCAUUGUCAUCAAUCACCAAAACACUUAGGGAUAAAAAUGCCCUUAGAGGAGGAACUCGAAAACGCUUUCAGGGCCAAUUUUCAAGGGACUUAUGUCCGGCCUCCGGAUGCAGACGAUCUAAGUCACAUAGUCCAACAGCCCGGAGAGUCCGCCCGCAAGCUUUGGAACAGAUUCCUCACUAAGAAGAAUCAAAUUGUUGACUGUCCGGACGCCGAAGCCUUAGCGGCUUUCAAACACAGCAUCCGUGAUGAAUGGCUCGCCGGCACCUCAUCCAAGAAAAGCCUGCCUUUACGGGCCAACCAGCUAUCCUCACCCGCGUAAAAGCGGGUCAUAAGGCUUGUUAAGGCUGCCAUUGUCCUGAUUCAGGGGCUCUCGACCUGAUCAGCAAAAUAAGCCAUUGAAAGGCAGUAAAGACGGACCGUCCGGUCUGAACAGAGUCUUGGACAUACUAUGCCAAAUUCAUGGCACCCCGGAGAAACCUGCGAACCACACCCAUAGAGAGUGCUGGGUUUUCAAGCAGGCCGGCAAAUUAAUUGCCGAACACAAGGGGAGGGACACACCAAGUGAAGAAGAGGAUGAACCCCACCAGCCGAACACCGUGGUACAGAAAAAAUUCCCGCCAGAGGUUAAAACAGUCAACAUGAUCCACGCGACUCGCACAUCCACGAGAGGGCAUAAAACGCGCGCCCAUAGAAGCACACGAUGUAGAGCCCGUCGUACCCACGUCUCACUACUGGAUGUCUUGUCCCAUCACAUUCGAUCGCACGGACGACCGAACUAGUAUUCGGCACGGAGGAUCACAGGCCUUGGUGCUUGACCCACUAAUCGACGGAUACUGUCUCACCCGCGUCCUCAUGGACAGCGGCAGUGGUCCCAAUUGAAUAUAUGAGGAUACUGUCCGCAGAAAGGGGAUAGACCCAUCCAGAAUUAAACAAAGCAACAUCACCUUUGAAGGGGUGAUACCAGGCGUUGCAGCCUGCGCCAGGGGCUCCGUCAUGCUGGAAGUAACAUUCGGCUCCCCAGGCAACUCCAGAAGCGAAGAGAUGCUCUUCAAUAUCGCACCCUUCCAAAGCAGCUAUCACGCAUUGCUAGGAAGAACGACCUUCGCCUGCUUCAACGCACUGCCGCACUAUGGCCACCUUACACUCAAGAUGCCCGGUCCCCGUGGCGUCAUCACCGUUAGCAGAAUCAUAAAGCGCCAUUCACGCGCAGAGGAAUAUGCGACGGCCCUGGCGGCCGUACUAUAAGCGGCCUCCAGUUUUUAGAAAACAUGAUUGGUCAUUAUGACCACAGACACGGUUAGACGAGUCCGUUAGCCCGGAUAAAUUCAAACAGGGCACUGUAUAUAUAAUCCCAUAAGGGAAACCAGGCGUUGUUUGUAUUUAAUACAGCCCCACGCUUAGCUCGACCUUAUUGGCAGGCCAAUAGUUUACACUCUUAUUAUUAAUCGCAUACUUACGAUGCAGCCUCCUGUGAGUUUUUCUUUUUUACAGACAACGUUCGCGCGAUACCCUUCCAGGAUACGGCACAAUAGAGACAAAGGCGCAGACGUGCAGCAGGGCCUUGUGCAACAGGUUUCUUUUUAGAUUAAGCCCCUGUGUAAUCCUUUUCUACUGCCUCUUGUUGUUUAACCAUCCCAUGGGUUCUCUACCCACAGAGGAUACUGCCGUUUUUGGCAUUUGGCCACGGCAGACUAAAAUGCACGUACCUAGAAAUAAAGGGCAUAAAAUAGGCUCUUGUCAGCCUAUCUUCUUUUACAAAAGACCGAAUACCCUCGGGAGUGUUCGGCGUCACGAGUUUGACCAUAUAUGCAUCAGCUCCGAAUCAUGUCUUAGGUCAAAAUGUUGGGUUUGCCCGACUCCUGGGUAGGCCGCCUUAUGUUCCGCUAUCAUCCGGCUAAGGCAGGCCAAAGGAGAACUACUACGAUUGUGCCCUGGUUAUUCCGGAUGAGCACCUCAGUAGAGAAAGCCGAAAACUGGCCGUCAUGAUGCAGCGAGAGACUGUUCAACCACUCGAAGACUCACCGGAAUCCCUAAAUAUUCCUUCGCCUUAACGAAGGGCCGUUUUUCGGCCAUGUACACAUGCGCCCAUAUUUGGAUGCACGUAGAGGUACCAGGGGCUACAUAGUCCCCACCCUUAGACUCCCAUGGCUAAGCGAAAGUGUUACAGCUAUAUAGUCCGAAUGCCUAGUUCGGCGUGCGAUCACCUCCUUAAUGGACCAAGACGUUGGAUCAAGUGUGCUUAUGCAUAUUUUUUCGCCAACACCCUCGCAUUGUCCGCGAGGGGGCUGAAGCCAACGACUGCUAUCUUUUAGACUACUUAUACAUAUAAGAAUAGCCGCAAAGGGAGGACAAUCAUACUUCCGGGCAAAAGUAUAAACAUAGCCUCAUAAUUAAACUAAACAUUGUUUUCUACAAUGAUUCGACUUAUCACUCGAAUAAAACACUCUUCGAGCAUUGCACCUCUAUCAGGCGGGCACCUUCUGUGACUUGCACCAAGUAGUGCUCGGCCGGAUGUUGGCCUCCCGCCGGAUCCUGGCUCGCUAUUACCGUGGCCUCCAUAUCCGUCCAGUAGGCUUUAACGUGGGCUAGAGCCAUCCGCGCACCUUCUAUGCAUGCCGACCUUCUCAGGGCGUCAAUCCAGGACACCGCUCCAAGGAAUUGUUGCACUAAACCAAAGUAGCUGUCCGGCUUAGGCCCCUUCGGCCAAAGAUGGUCUAUUACAGACCGCAUUGCCAGUCCGGACAGCCUGUGGAUCUCCGCCAUAGCAGCCACCUUGUCAUUCAGUGGCAGCGGGCGAGUGGGAGCAUUAAACUGCGACCAGAAAAGCUUCUCCACUUCUUCAUCGCCUUGACCCUCGAAGAACUUGGCAGCGUCAGCUGUACUAUUCGCCAAGUCCGCAUAUGCGUCCGCAGGACUCAUGCGACCCGCCAGGGGAGCAAACUUCGGAUCCAAGAACUUCGUCCGCAGCAAGUAUGAGCCCCCAGCCACGAUUUUGUCAGCUUGUUGGAGCUCCUCCCGCAUACUCCGGAUCUCGGUCCACAUCUCCUUGGCGGCAUUAUGUGCCUUGUCCAGCUCGGCCGAACUAGCCUUAUUCUCCUUUUCAAGGAGUGCGUACCGGUCGGCGGCAUUUUUUAACUCUUCAGCCAUUUCAUCUAUCUUUUCCUCUCUUCGGCGACGAGCAGCCUGUUCGGCUCUCAACUCUUCGACCGCCUUUAGGGCAGCCGCAUUGCUAGCCCGAGCUUGUUCCUUGGCUUGAGCAAGUUCCGCCCUCAGGGCCUCCACGGCAGCAGCACCAUCUGCAGUGCACACGUAUUGCAUUAAUAUUAUGCCUUUUGGCAUCUUCCUAUACAUUAUAAUAAAAACCAAGCACAUACCCUGGGACUCCUCCAGCCGUUUAUUCACCAGCAUGAUAUCGGCAUCGAUUGAUCUAAUUUGCCUCCUUAGCUCGGCAACUUCAACAGACUGGUCGGCUGCCGGAUCCUUGUAUACCUGGGCACAUGUACGGCGCAGCCAUUAGUAUAUGAUCCACCGUUUGACGCCUAUGGCGGGCAACCAGAGUCUCAGGGGCGACUAUCUAUAGGGAGCACACCUAGCACGUGUUUCAUAACCAAAAAGUUGUGCAUUUUUUCACUACAUACCUCAAAGCCUUUGAGCAGGCUUGUAAAUGCCUCAUUCAAGCCGCCGGUAGCAGAUGAAAUCUUCGUGAGCACCAUGCUCAUUAAAGAGCGGUGCUCCUCCGAGAGUGCGGCUCGCUCCAGAUGGCCCGUCAGUACGUCCGGCCGGACAUUAAAUUGCGCCGGACCCUUCUCCUCGCCCCCCGUAGGAGCCAAACGCUCCGGGCUCAGGGCGGCUGACGUACUAGCCUCCGGCUUCGGCAGAUCCAGACUCCUCCGUGACGACACCUCCGUGUCGCCCGCUUCAUGAGGCGGAGAGCUGGGUGGAGUCUCGCUCUCCAUCAUCUCCGGACGAAGGUCCCCCAAAGACGAACUCUGUUGAGAAGAGCUACUCGCCGGACUACAAAAGACGAAGUCCUGGUUAUGGAUCUCGGAGUAACACUUCACCUUCGAAUUGAUGAAUAACUUACGGCUCGGUCGAGGGCUGGCCCGUUGGUGGGCAUGACGUGGUGAGGGCGCCCAUCACGGCAGAACCCCUUGGAGAUGUUUUCUUCCCUUGCUUGGGCGUCUCCGCCUCCAAAUCUUCAGAGGCGGCCCUUUUCCUCCCGCGUGGGGAGGAGGCUUUGACCUCCCCUUCCCGGCUAUCCUCCAUAGGACGGGUAGCGACUUCCCCGGUCUGGAUGUGCAGCGCGUGAAGUUCAACUUCACUGCCCUUCCCUUCGCCUUUCCCUGUAGGAAUUUUGCUGAGCGCCCGAUCCAGCAUCUUUGCAAUGGUUGGACCAGGCGGGCCUUCAGGAAGUGGCGCCGGACACCUGAUUCUCUUUGCCUUGGCGAGCCAUUCCUGGCCGCGGAGGGAUUGUCAGAAUAACAGUUAUGAUAAAUAUAAAUGAAGUAUCCGGCUUUAAGGUUACUUACUUGGGCAUCUAGGCGAUUGCAGCUUAGGCCCGCAUCCUCGGUGGUGUCCAGACAAUUUACUUGUGGUCCGGAGAAUAAUUUACAGAUCCCUUCGAGCUUCAGGCCGAAGAAGUGCUUAAUAGUCCAGGACCCUCCGGAUUAAACUCCCACAUCCGGAGAGGUCGACAUUUGCACGGCAACAUCCGCCGGACUAUCAUCACCUGCAUUAUGCUGACAACAUUUAUGUCCCUCUCAAUAAGCUCCCGGAUACGAUUCUGCAGUUCUGGCACAUCGCCAGCAGGCCCAUAAUUCCGUCCUUCGUCGGUCCAAGACGCUAACUGUGACGGAGGGCCCAAGCGGAACUCGGGGGCAGCUACCCACUUUGUGCCUCUGGGAGCAAUGACAUAGAACCAUCUCCGUUGCCAUACAUCGGACACUUCCGGAAAAGAACCCUCUGGCCAUGGGGCAUCGGUGUUCCUGCUUCUUAUGGCGCCUCCGCGCUCCGCAUGUCACCCCUCAAUCAUCUUCGACUUCACAUUGAAGGUCUUUAGCCAUAAGCCGAAGUGUGGGUUGACGUGGAGAAAAGCUUCACACACGAUAAUGAAAGACGAGAUAUGGAGGAUGGCGUCUUGAGCCAGAUCAUGGAAAUCCAAGCCAUAGUAGCACAUGAGCCCCCUCACAAAGGGCCUCGGAGGAAGUGAGGAGUAAACACGACGCUCUCAUUGGGCUCCGGCAUGGGCAUGACUUGCCCCGGAGCAUGAAGCCUAUGCUGGAUAUCAGCAGUCAGGUAUCCGACCUCCCUAAGCUUCGCAAUAUCCUCCUCCUGAAUCGAGGAGGCCACCCACCGGCCAGCUGCGUUGGAUCCGGACAUUCUGGAGGAUCUGGGGGGCUGGAGCUUAGGUUUUUGGGCGAUGGAGCUCGAGGUAUGAGAAGGAGCGGAGAGGUGGAGAUGAGGCGUAGGCCUCGACCCCUUUAUAAAAGGGAUGAAUACCAAGAGUCCUCAGCAUGGCCGCUUGAGACUUGUCUAAAACACGGAAUUAUACCAACCAUCGCCGUGGGGUCGCAUAUGCCCAUAUUGAUGAAGGAUCCCGUAUUAAGAGGGACACGAUCUCUGCUUUGACAGGACGUGCCGAUAAAACCGCCUCGCAACGUGAGUCGAGGUGGAGCACGAAGCGCUGGUUCGUGUUGGACCAGGUCAUGAUGCAAGGGCACAAUGUACGAAGAUUUCCAGCAGAACAGAUUUAUGCUAAGGGUAUGUGAAGAUCAUCUUGCAGAUCCGGACACGACCUACGUGUUCGAUAAUCACCUUGGAGUAUUCGGAGGAGGAACCCUCCUUGCAAUGCCGAAGACAAGACUGCAUGCCGGACUCAUCAUCAUUGAAGCCUGGUUCAGGGGCUACUGAGGGAGUCCUGGAUAAGGGGGUAUCCGGACAGCCGAACUAUAUUCAUCGUCCGGACUAUAGAAGCGUCAAGACACAUGACUCAACACUUCGGCUCGUGUCCGGAUGGGACUCUCCUUUGCGUGGAAGACAAGCUUCGCGAUCCGGAUAUUAUGUUUCCUUCCUUGUAACCGACUCCAUGUAAACCCUAGCUCUCCGGUGUCUAUAUAAACCAGAGAACAUGGUCCUUAGAAGGCCGAUCACAAUUACAAUCAUACCAUCAUAGGCUAGCUCUUAGGGUUUAGCCUCUACGAUCUCGUGGUAGAUCUACUCUUGUAUUCCACAUAUCUUCAAUAUCAAUCAAGCAGGAAGUAGGGUUUUACCUCCAUCGAGAGUGCCCGAACCUGGGUAAACAUUGUGUCCCUUGCUUCCUGUUACCAUCAUCCUAAGAUGCACAGAUCGGGACCCCCUACCCGAGAUUCGCCGGUUUUGACACCGACAGCGACCACCGCCACAACUGCAGUUAGAGUUCCAGUGCCACAAUUGCAACCAGAAAAUCCAUCUCAGCAACAACCACAAGAGCAAGUUCCAUUGGUGCAACAACAACAAUUUCUAGGGCAGCAACAACAACAAUUUCCAGGGCAGCAAUAACCAUUUCGACCACAACAGCCAUAUCCGCAGCCGCAACCAUUUCCUCCACAACUACCAUGUCCGCAACCGCAACCAUUUCCACCACAACAAUCAUAUCCACAACCACAACCACAGUAUCCGCAACCACAACAAACAAUUUCGCAGCAACAAGCACAACAACAACAAUGACAACCACAACAACAAAUCCUUCAACAAAUUCUACAAAAACAACUGAUUCCAUGCAGGGAUGUCGUCUUGCAACAACCCAACAUAGCACAUGCAAGCUCACAAGUAUCACAACAAAGUUACCAUCUGUUGCAACAAUUAUGUUGUUAGCAACUGUGGCAGACCCCCGAGCUGUCACGGUGCCAAGUCAUCCACAAUGUCGUUCAUGCUAUUAUUCUCCAUCAACAACAACAACAAAAACAACAACAACAACAACAACAACAACCGUCGAGCCAGGUCUUCUAGCAGCAACCUCAGCAACAAUAUCCAUCAGCCCAGGGCUCCUUCCAGCCAUCUGAGCAAAACCCACAGGCCGAUGGCUUUGUCCAACCUCAGCAACUGCCGCAGUUUGAGUAAAUAAGGAACCUAGCGCUGCAGACACUACCAGCAAUGUGCAAUGUCUACAUCCCUCCAUAUUGCUCGACCACCAUUGCGCCAUUUGGCAUCGUGAGUACUAAUUGAGAAGAGAAGAACUCUAGUACUAGAUAUAUGAAACACCGUUUUCUUAGACCAUGGUUUGGUCGUUGUAGCGGUGAAGAAUAAAGUGACAUGCACUAUCAUGUAAGAACCCGAACUAGACUAUUUCAAACUUGGAAAUAAAAGACAAACACAGGUCUUGUCUGCAUAUGAUUGUUUGU